AUUGGAAUGUUGAGUGCACAAUGGUUAUUAUUCUUAUUCAUAAUUGGGAUUUGGGCCUGAUUUUAUUUAGAAUAGAAGAGGUCCAAUUGCCCAAAAAAGGUCCAAAACCUAAACAUAAAGAGGCCAAAAACAUGAUUCUAUACCUGUGUAAUCGUGUCGUUUCUUCUUCCUCCGACUUCCAUCAGCACCUGCUGUAAAUUCCACCCUGCGGCACUAUAAACUCCGACUGGUUCCGCCCCUUAUUCACAACAUCACUCAUCAGCCCAAAUAAAAGGGCCAAAACAUUCAUCUUCUUCCUCAGCUUCUCUUCCACAAUUUGGCCUCUGCAACUUGUUAAAAAUAAAAAAUAAAAAAAUGAAACACUUUGGGCAAAAAACAGGCCCCCUUAGAUUGUGGGCCUGAGGCCCCAACCUCAUUUGCCUCAUGGCAAGACCGGCUCUGCGAAUAAUAAAGAUUAGCAUCUUCUUUCUCUUUUGCAUAUUUUGUUUCGAUGUUCAUGCAGGAUGGAUUAUGAUAAUUGUACCAUAUAAGAAACAUUAUUUUGAAAAUUUUAAAUUGAUGAAUUUUGACACGGGUAAUCAAUUUAAUGACAUAGUUUAGUUUGUGACUAUUUUAUUGCUAAGAGAAUGAAGAUAGCGCCUCACACAGAGAUAAGAAGACAUGGCUGGCUUCUUUCUUGCCAUAGAAAUGAAAAGGGAACAGAUAUAAACACAAAACUAGGGGACAUCAUAAAUGGGCCAAAAAAAUGUGUAAAUGGGUUAAGCCCUUUAAUGGGCCAUAAGUAACCAUGCAUUGAAAUGUGACUUCAAAUGGCCCAUUUAUUUUUUGAGUAGAGCUAUUAAUUUGGGUUUCGCCUUGUGGUGUUAAUUACCUAUUUCAAUCCUUGACCGAAGCCUAUGAAAUUAAACUUUAAAAAUAAUUGCCUAUAUGAGGUUGUUUGACAACAAAAUACCCAAGAAGUCUCCAUCUUGAUGCUAACGAACCUUUAUACAAAGAAGCUAAACUUAGUUCUCUCUCUCUCUCUCUCUCUCUCUUAGCACUUUUACCUACAAAAGAAACAAUAUCAUAUAUUCGUGACAACUUCAAAAGGAGAGCCAAUAAAAUUGAAAAUUAUUCACCUCCACUGAUAUUUAGAAGAUUCAAGCAACUUCUGAACUUCACCAAGACUAACACCUUAGUUCCCAUGUCCAAGGGAAUAUAUUGUAAAAGCUCUUUUUCAAACUUUAUCAUCUCUUGUGAGAUAAUGUCUGUAAUGAAAUGUGGUUUAAUAUCAAUGUGUUUGGUGUGUUCGUACAAAUUGAGAUUUUUGCAAAAAUAUAUAGAAAAUUGAUAUCGGAGUAUACAACCACACAUCAUUUUACCACACAAAGUUCAUAAAGCAAACUUCUAAGCCACAAAACUUCUUUAAUUGCUUUGAUAGUAACAAUAUAUUUUGAUUUGAUCGUGGAUAGUUCAACUAUGAGUUGUAAUUGAGAUUUUCAAGUGAUACAAGAGUUAAACAAUGUAAGUACAUAGAAGGAAGUAGAAUUCGUAUUAUCCAUAUUUCUUGCAUAGUCCAUAACUACAAAUUUCCUUCGAUUUUACUCCUUUCUUAUUAACACCAAACUUUAAACCUACAUCACUAGUCCUUUUCAAAUAUCUAAGUAAUCACUUCAAAGCCUCCCAAUGUAACGCCCAAAAAAAUAUAAAAAUUAGAAUAAAAAUGUAUUUGUUUUAUAUGUUAUAUUUAUAUUUAAAAAAAAUGAGGACUAAAAUGAAAUGUGUCAUAAAUUCAUAAUCCUAUAUGAGUCAAGUAAUUAAAUUUCGAAAGAACAAGUAUAAGUAUAUCAAUAUUGGGCUUAUUGGAUAGCUCGUAAUUAUUUAUAUAUAUUAUUCCCGAGAAAAAGGCAAUUUGGAUAAGUUAGACUCUAGAUAUUGAAGUUUAUAGACUUUAUCACUUAUUAGUAAUUGUUUAUAAUUAUUAUUAAGUUUUUUAAGAAUGGCAACACUUGUAGUUGGAUAGGGUUGGAAUAAAAUAGUGUUUUUUUUUGUAUGAAUGAUAAUAUAUAUAGUCAAUUUUCUUGAGAUAGUACACAAUAACCAUGACCUUUUGCUCCCAUGAUGUCAACCGUCCUUGAUUGAGAAUUUGGCAAUUGCCUUAUUUGAAUUGAAAUGAAUUGUGUGUGUAUAUAUAUAUAUAUAUAGUCAACUUUCUUGGGAUAGUACACAAUAACCAUGACCUUUUGCUCCCAUGAUGUCAACUAUCCUUGAUUAAGAAUUUGACAAUUGCCUUAUUUGAAUUGAAAUGAAUUGGAUACGUGUAUAAAUAAAAGGCAAAUUAGUAAAUUGAGCCACUAAUAUGGGAAAACGUGUGGCUUUAUUAGGUUAUAUAAAUAUUAUAGAUAGAAAAUACUUGUCUACCUAAAUAAGCAUUGCACGUUGAAAAUACAAAAAUAAAUAAAAUUGUCAUAUCUUUAAUUGAUUAAAAGGGGGAGAUCCACACACUGCACAAAUAAGGGGGAGUCUUAGAACGUGAAACUACUGCCUUUCUUUCAAGACAACUCUUUUCAUCAAUCAAGAUAGGACUACGAAGUGCAAGUAUUUUGUCCCGUCUAAAUUAUAUUUUUUCAUGUUGAUAAAUUAUUAUACUUAUGAAAGUUAUGAAAUUAUAUGAUGAUUAUGAUAUGAUAUGAAACGACUAUCCGGUACCAAAGAUAUGAUAUAUUAUGAGCUCUUACCAAUUUCAAAUGAUAUGAUGACAGUAUAAUUUUUUUUAAAGCAUGAUCUAAAUAUUUUAUUCGGGAUCGCACCACUAUUUUCAUGUCCUACUGAGUAUAUCCAUGUAUUCACUUUUUUCCCUAAUCCUCACAGGUUAGAACGUGUCAUUGGUUGACGGGCAAUGCGGUGUUGUCGUGAUACGAGGACUUAUGGGACAGACUAAAAAUAAUCCGGAGUAAUAAGAAAAUGUUCUUUUAUGUUAGGAAUUUAUUAGUUUUAAAUUCACAAAAAAGUUUUAAAUUUGAAAUUUUAAACAUGUCUAAUUAAGGAUUAAGUAUAAAACUGUGAUUUGUUUUAUUGGUGGAAAAUUUUAUUUGUUAAUGUAUUUAAAAUAUAUCAUGUUUGGUAGCAAUUUAAAUUACAAAAAUUUGGGUAGUUACAGUUUGGUAUUAUAGCCUAGGUUUAUUUUUUUAUAGACCCAUUAUGAUUUUUUUAUGUGAUUAAAAAAAACUAUUUGUUAGUGAACAAUGACGACAGUACUGUUCACGAUGAACAGUACCAUGUCACUGUUCGUCGUGAGCAGUGAAAAAAAUUUCAAGUAAUUAUGGUCAUAGGUUAUGAUUAAAUAAAGUGCUUAUCGUGAUUAAUGUUUAAGUCAAAUCACAUUACUUGAAAUCUAGCCCUCGUUUGCCUCAAGAAAAAUCAUUAAAUUUCCAACUUUUUCAAACAUUACCAGGCUCCACAUAUAAAUGAUAGUUGACAGUACACUUAUGUGGUUCGCAAGGGUUUGACUACUAAAUUGAUUAAUGCAUAAAAUGACAUCUGUGCCCCUAGUUUUGCCAUCUUGUUGAGUGAUGGCAAGAGUAAGAAUGGCAUUACAUAAAAUGGGAGGUACGUAAGUUAAUGGGAUUCAAACGGGUGGCAUUGAGGAUUGGGAAAUGCUUACAAUGUUUAAAAAAAAAGAAGAAUUAUUAUGGUAUUUGCACACAAAACUUGGUGUUCUAAUAUGUUGCAUAUAAUACAUGUGGCAAAAGAGUAUGUUGGCAAGAGUCUACAUUACAGUUAUAUGGAUGAAUAUUGUAUAAUGAUGCUUAUUUUUUAGCAGGCAAAAAAAUAAAUCAAUAAAAAUAAUAAUACAGUAUAAUAACUGUAAUUUAUAAUAUCAAAGGUUACAAUGCUUGUUUGAAUUAUAUUUAAUAUUUUAUGCUAAUAGAGGAUGUUGUAACCCGUAGGCAUAUCUCUUAUCCAUUGUGUUUGUAUAUUAUUAAUCACUUCUUUAAAAAAAUAAAAAAUAAAAAGAACGACCUUUGGUACUCAACGACCAUCGAUCGGCCACCAUCCAAUGACUUUGAGGUAUGUAAAAGGGUAAGAAGAUUAAUGUACUUAGACCUUGCAUAACUUAAAUAUUUUAAAUUGUCUGUCUUUAAUUUUACAAGACAGGCAUAUUUAUUUCCUCGUCAACUUUACGAUAUGUUUCAUAAUAAAAUAAGUGUAAUAUCUUAGACUUAAUACUAAUAGAUGAUGAGUGAUUUAAUGUUAAAUUUUAGGAAAUGACACCACCUACUCACACAAAUUUGAUGCGUGACUUGUUGCAAGCAGUGCAAUAAUUACUAGACAGAAUCAAGUAUCUCCACCACAAAAAUUGCUACCACAGCAAAAUGCACCUCUAUCUUUCCCUAGAGCUGUUUCCAUGGUUGAGCAGUUUCGUAGGUACAUGCCUCCUACUUUCGAUGGAAAUUCUGACCCACUGGCUGUUGAGGAGUAGAUUAGAGGUUUGGAACUCAUUUUUCGACAUAUUUCUUUCACGGAUGCACAGAAGGUACUAUGCGAAGAAUUCAUGUUGAUUGGAGCAGCCGAUCAAUGGUGGGAAUCUGUCUCACGCACUAGGACCAAAGAGCAACAGCAUAACCUGACUUGGGAACAAUUUAAGGAAGAAGUGAUGGCAAAGUACUUCCCACAAGUUUUGAGAGACUUCAAGGAAUUAGAGUUUCUACAACUUAGUCAGGAAAACAUGUCGCUUACUGAAUACGAGAGAUAGUUUGAAUAGCUCUUAAGGUAUGCCCCGCACUCAGUAGAUAUAGAAGUCAAGAAGAUCAGGAGGUUUGAAAAUGGACUACGCCCGAAAAUUGGCAUGAUUAUUAUGUCAUAUCGUUUCACUUCAUAUUGUGCAAUGUUGGAGAGACUUCAUACUAUAUUAUAUCAGAGGACUACAUUUGAGCAGUAUGCCCAAUAGUGCAAGGAGUUGUUAGGAAAAAGAAAGUGGAAUAAUCAGAGCAACGAGAAAUGUAGCUGGUAGAAUAAAAGGCCAAGCCUAGGAAUUCAUAUCGAUGGGUUGAGUGGAGGUAUUACACCAUGCCCUAAGUGUAAUAAACCUCAUAGGGUUGAAUGCUUAUUCGGGAAGAACAUAUGUUUCCGAUGUGGUAAGCCAAAGAAUAUCGCUUUGCACUACACAGUGCCUCCAGGAAAGAACAAGAAAGAGAAGGCUCGAGUUUUUGCAUUAAAUCAGCAUGAGGUGGAGCAAGAUUCGAAUGUGAUAGCAGGUAUUUUAUUAUUAUUUGAAGUAUUUGUCUAUGUUCUUGAUUUUGCAUUCCCCGUCACUAAGUCUAACAAUAUAAUUACAAAAAUAGGUAUUCUGUUAUUACUUGAUGUACCUGCUUAUGUACAUUUUGACUAUGGGCCUACAAUUUCUUUUAUCCCUACAUCAUUCGUCACUAAGUAUGACAUUGCAUAUGUGAAAACGGAUAAUGCAUUAGAGAUUAGCAUCCCUUCAGGGAGAACUCUUUGUACAAAUUAGAUGACUAGAGCUACAAAGUUAGAGAUUGAUGGAAAUGUACUACUGGCGAACUUAUACCUUUUGGAGAUGAAAGAUUUUGACAUUAUUUUAGGCAUGGACUGGUUAGGACUCAAUCAUGCAACCAUUCGAUGUCAUGACAAAGAAGUGUUAUUUCACAAACUGGGAAAGGAAGAGUUUGGUUUCUUUGGAGCAAAGUCCAAGACUCUAUCUCACCUUGUGUUAGCCUUACAAGCGGAGAAGAUGUUUAAAAUAGAGUCAUGUCAAGGAUUCGUAGUAGAUAUCAACGAUUCCAAACAUGCAGAAACAACCGUUAAAGAUAUUAACAUUGUACGAGAUUUUGCAUAUGUAUUUCCAAAAGACCUACUUGGCAUUCCACGACAUAGGCAAAUGAAAUUUACAAUUGACUUAGUUCCUGGCGUGGCACCAGUAUCCAAGGCUCAGUACCGAAUGGUACCAAAGAACUCCAAGAAUUGAAGUUACAAUUGGAGGAGUUACUGAAAAAAUGUUUCAUUCGACCAAGUGUAUCUCCUUGGGGCAUUCUAGUACUUUUGUAAAGUAGAAGGAUGAGAUAUGAGGAUGUGCAUUGACUAUCAAGAAUUGAAUAAUUUAACUAUCAAAAAUAGACACCUCCUACCAAGAAUAGAAGACUUAUUCGACCAGUGAAGGGGUGGAACGGUGUUUUUUAAGAUUGACUUGAGAUUGGGGCAUCAUCGGCUGAAGAUCAAGGCAAGCAAUAUACCAAAAAUUGCUUUCAGAACUCGAUAUGGGCAUUACGAGUUCACUGUCAUGUCUUUCAGUUUGAUCAAUGCUCCAGAGGUAUUUAUGGACCUAAUGAUCAAAGUGUUUCAUUAGUAUUUGGACCAGUUCAUCAUAGUAUUUAUUGAAGAUAUAAUUGUGUAUACCAAAGAUAGGAAAUAGCAUGAGGAACAACUUCGAGUAGUACUUGAUACUUUGAGGAAGGAAAAAUUAUAUGCCAAAUUCAAGAAAUUCGAAUUUUGGCUUGAUCGCAUAAGUUUUCUUGGUCAUGUGGUUACCGCCCAAUGAAUUGAAGUAGACCCAGUUAAAGUGGAAGCAGUAACUAAUUGGCCUAGCCCAUCCAGUGUAAGUGAAGUUCACAGUUUCUUAGGGUUAGCUAGCUAUUAUCAAAGAUUUAUUAAGGGUUUCUCAAAAAUAGCAAGUCGAAUACUCGGUUGACUCGAAGGGGGUGAAAUUUCAAUGGAUGAAAAAAUGUGAGAAGUGUUUUCAGGAACUUAAAUAGAGAUUAGUCAGGCUCUUGUUCUAACUAUACCUUAAGGUUCUAAUGGGUUUGUAAUUUAUAGCGAUGCCUCUAAAUAGGGCUUGGGUUAUGUUUUGAUGUAAUAUGGAAAGAAGAUUGCUUAUGCCUUGAGAUAGUCAAAACAGUACGAGCAGAACUAUCCAACUCAUGACUUUGAACUAGUAGCAGUAGUUCAUGCCCUAAAGAUAUGAUGUCAUUAUCUCUAUGGUAGGAGAUGUGAAAUCUACACAAACCACAAGAGCCUUAAAUACGUCUUCAAACGAAGGAACUAAACAUGAGACAGAGAAGAUGGUUGGAAUUAGUGAAAGAUUAUGACUGUACAAUUCAUUACCAUCUAAGUAAGGCUAACAUAGUCGCAGAUACUUUAAGUAAGAAAAUAGGAUCGUAGUUAGCAGUCUUACCCACAGGGCAGGAACACUUGAUAAAGGACUUUAAGAAACUGAGAUUCGAAGUCAUCACACCGUUGACUCAGACUACAACGAGAAUAAGAGCAUUUAUGAUUCGACCUACUCUUCGGGAUCGAAUUAAGGAAGUAUAUGAUAAGGAUUCAUUUCUACAGAAGAUUAAAGCUGAGAUUGGGACAAAUAAAAGUAUGGGAUUUGAAGUAUCUGCGGAUAACACGUUGACUUUUAAAGGAAGGUUGUGUGUACCUAAAGAUGAAAGAAUAAAAAAUGAGAUAUUGGAAGAGGCUCAUUCUGCCUCGUAUAUUGCACAUUCAGGAGGUAUAUUAAGAUCUCUAAGAUACCUUUUGGUGAAGAACAUUAAAAGAAAAGUUGGGCUGGUCGUGGAAAAAUUAUCAUCUGUCUGCAAGUUAAGGUAGAACAUCAAAGGCCAUCAGGAUUGCUGAACCCGUUGGAUAUUCCAGAAUGGAAAUAGGAACACAGAGCGAUAGAUUUUGUGGUAGGUUUUUCGAGGUAACAACGGGUCACAAUGCUAUAUGGGUAGUAGUUGAUCAUUUGACGAAGUCAGCUCAUUUCCUGUCAAUCAAAGUAAAUUUUAGUAUAGAAUAGCUCGCAUAGUUAUAUAUGAGAGAGAUAGUCAUACUGCAUUGAAUUCCUGUCACCAUUGUUUCAGAUAGAGACUCAAGAUUCACAUUAGAAUUUUAGAAAAGUUUGCAGGCAACCAUAGGGACGAAAUUGAAGUUUAGUACUGUUUAUCAUCCAUAGAUAGAUGGACAAUCAGAAAAAACCAUUCCAACUCUUGAAGAUAUGUUGAGAGCAUGUGUUUUAGAUCUUGACAGAAGUUGGGAGACACUACUAUCAUUGGUGGAGUUUGCUUACAACAAUAGUUUUCAGGCCAUUAUAGGUAUGGCCCCAUAUGAAGCUCUUUAUGGUAGAAAGUAUAUAUCCCCUAUCCAUUGGGACGAGGUCAGGAAGAAUAGAAUUUUGGGUCCUAAAAUCAUUGAACGAAUGGUUGAGACGGUUGAUAAGAUUAAAGCAAGAACAAAGGCAACACAAGACUGACAGAAAAGUUAUGCUAACGGCAGGAGAUAAGAUUUAGAAUUUCAAGUGGGUGACAAAGUUUUCCAAAGGUAGCACCAGUGAAGGGUGUGCUGAGGUUUGGAAAGAAAAGGAAGCUGAGGCCUCAGAUCAUCAGACCUUUUGAAAUUCUUGAAAGUAUUGGUAGUAUGGCUUACCGACUUGCCUUAUCAUCUGAAUUGGCAGCAGUACAUAUCGUGUUUCGUAUUUCAAUUCUGAGAAAAUAUGUCCAAGACCCUAAUCACGUGGUAAAUUACCAAACUUUAGAGGUACAAAAUGACCUGUCAUAAGAAAAAACCCAAAUGAUGAUUUUGGAAAGAAAAGUGCAUCAACUCAGAAACAAAGAAGUUCCACUGGUCAAGGUGCUAUGACAUAAUCAUGGACUAGACGAGUCAACAUGGGAGAAGGAAGAUGAGCUUAAAAUCAAAUACCCAAAACUCUUCAAUUAGUUGAGGUAAUUUUCAAGGACGAAAUAUUUAAGGUGGGGAGAUUGUAAUGCAAAAAAAAAAAAAAAAAAAAAUUAAAAAUGUAUUUUUUUUAUAUGUUAUUUUUAUAUUUAAAAAAAUGAGGACUAAAAUGAAAAAUGUUUUAAAUUCAUAAUUCUAUAUGUGUCAAAUAAUUAAAUUUCGAAAGAGCAAAUAUAAGUAUAUCAAUAAUGGGCUCACUGGAUAGCUUGUAAUUAAUUAUAUAUAUUAGUCCUGAGAAAAAGACGAUUAAGAUAAGUUAGAAUCUAGAUAUUGAAGUUUAUAGACCUUGUCACUUAUAAGUAAUUGUUUAUAAUUAUAAUUAAUUUUUUUAAGAAUGGCAACACGUGUAGUUGGAUAGGGUUGGAAUAAAAUAGUAUUUUUUUUGUGUACUAUCACAAGAUAGUUGAAUAUAUAUAUAUAUAUAUAUAUAUAUGUUCUUUGUUAAUAACUUGCUAUGAUAUUUCAAUUUUCAAGCAAACUCAUUUUUAAUUAUACAUUCUUCUAAUAAAAUAAUUUUGUACACGAAUUCAUAAUUUUUUUUCCUACUUUUCGAUCACAUUUCUCAAAAAAUGUUUUUCACAAAGUUUAUCAAGACCACUUUUUGGCAUCAUUUUCUUGUGAUAGUGCACAAUAACCAAGACCUUUUGCUCCCAUGAUGUCAGUCAUCCUUGAUUGAGAAUUUGGUGGUUGCCUUAUUUGAAAUGAAAUGAAUUGGAUACGUGUAUAAAUAAAUUGCAAAUUAGUGAAUUGGGCCACUAAUAUGGGAAAACAUGUGGCUUUAUUAGGUGAUAUAAGUAGUAUAGAUAGAGAAUCCUUGUCUACCUAAAUAAGCAUUGCACGUUGAAAAUACAAAAAUAAAUAAAAUUGUCAUAUCUUUAAUUGAACCAAAAGGGGAGAUCCACGCACUACACAAAUAAGGGGGAGUCUUAGAACGUGAAACUACUGCCCUUCUUUCAAGAAAACUCUUUUCAUCAAUCAAGGUAGGACUACGAGGUGCAAGUAUUUUAUCCUAUCUAAAUUAUAUUUUUUUCAUGUUGAUAAAUUAUUAUACCUAUGAAAGUUAUGAAAUGAUAUGAUGAUUAUGAUAUUAUAUGAAACGGCUAUCUGUCUAUCUUUGAGCACAAUUGACUCAAAGGGUCAUAAAUACAUUGGUGAAUGUGGAGUUUGAAGGUGGGUCAGGGCACUCUUGUUGUCAUGAAAGGAUAAAAAAACUCUACACAAUCGUAUAUCUUGUAAGGUUUCAUAUUAAUACGAGAUGUAACAGUUUCUACUUCUUCUUUGAUUGAUGAAAAAGUUACUAAACUUUGGCAUAUGUGACAUAGGCAUAUGAAUAAGAUAGGUAUGACAGAGUUGAGUAGGAGAGGACUUCUUGAUGGGCAGAAGACCAGUAAGAUGAAGUUUUGUGAGCAAUGUGUCCUUGAAAAAAAAAAGAGCUGGAUUCACCAAAGGAAAACAAAACAUGAAGGAAACACUUGAAUACAUCCAUUCAAGUCUUUGGGACCUGUCAAGGUACCUUCACAAGAAGAUGUUUAUUACUUGUUGACAAUGAUUGAACACUUCUCCCUGAAAGUAUACGGAUAAUGUGUUUGGGACCUUUAAGGAGUGGAAAACAUUGAUAGAAAAACAGAUUGGAAAACAGGUGAAAUGUCUACGCACAGAUUAUGAAUUGGAGUUUUGUUAGAUGAAUUCAAUAGCUUCUGUAAGGCGAAGGCAUCUUGAGACAAUUAACAGUGGAAACUCCUCAACAGAAUAAUGUGACAGGACGGAUAAAUAGAAUUUGAUGGAAAGGGUUCUUAACAUGCUUUCAAUUUUGGAUGCAUAAUACUUUUUGGGAUGAAGCUGCUACUGCAACUUAUUUUCUGAUUAAUUGCUCACCCUCAAUGUCAUUGAAAAAAAGACACCAGAAGAAGUAUGGUCUAGUAAACCUUCUUACCAAAAGAGGUAUGGUCCGGUAAACUUUCUUAUCAUUCUGAUUUAAAAAUAUUUAGUUAUCCUACUUAUGCUCAUGUGGGUCUAGAAAGUGUAUCUUUCUUAGAUAUAAAUUAGUUGCAAAGGGAUAUAUAUUGUAGUAUCCUGAGAUAAGAAAGGUUGUGGUUAAUAAGAUGUAAAAUUUGAUCAACUUGCUAAGGUUCAUGGUUUACCUCUUAGGAUUCUGAUAAAACUAAGGAACGAAAUCAUUCAACUCGGGUAAAGUUAGAAAUUGGUCCAAUGGGAACAAUCAGAAAUUACAAAACAAUCUACUAUGGAUCAAUCUAGUCUGGAAUUAACAAACAGCAAUACUUUGCCUACACCAUAGUAUUCAAUUGCUAACAAUAGAACUCACAGAUAGAUUAGACCUCCACAGAAGUAUGGAGAAGCAAUUUUGGUAGCUUAUGCAUUGAAUGUGGCUGAAGAUAUUAAUUCCACUGAGGAGCCUAUUCAGAGGUAGACAGUUGCAAUGAUUCUAGCAUAUGACUAUUUUUAUGCAAAAAGAGAAGGGAUCAUUCAAUAAAAAAAGUACUCAGGACUUUGUAAAAUUACCUAAGGAUAAAAGGGUUGUUCGCUACAAGUGAGUGUUCAAAAUAAGAAAGUGGCAUCAAGGAUUAAAGAUACUACGUAUAAGGCUAGACUAGUAGCAAAGGAUUACAAUCAGAUUCCAGUUGUUGACUUUAUAGAUGUGUUUUCACCAAUUGUAAAGCAUAGUCCAAUUCGGGCUUUGCUUGGAUUAGUAACAAAGAAUGAUUUGGAGUUUGAAUAGAUAGAUGUCAAUUUAUAAUUCUUUCAUAAAGAAUUUGAGGAGAACAUUUACAUACAACAACUAGAGGGUUUCAUAGUUUCUGGGAAGAAAGACUAUGUGUUCUUGUUGAAGAAGUCCAUGUAUAGACUAAAGCUGUCAUUGAAGAAGUGGUAUAAAAGGUUCAAAUCAUUCGUUACUUCUUAUAGUUUUAUUAGAAGUAGUUAUGAUAGUGGUGUGUACUUCAGAAAGGAAGAUAGUGGAUCGAUCACAUAUUUGUUAUUAUAUAUUGAUGACAUGCCCAUAAAAGCCAAAGACAAAUCCGAGUUUAGGAAGAUGAAAUCAUAACUUAGUAAGGAGUCCGAGAUAAAAGAUUUGGAUGCAGAAAAAAAAAUUCUUUGUAUGGAAAUUUUGAGGGAUAGAAAGGCUGGUAGAUUGUACUUCAGUCAAAAGGGGUACAUUGAGAAUGUGCUUCAAAGGUUCGAUAUACUAAAUGCUAAGGCUAUCAAUGAUCCAUUUGUUACCCACUUCAAACUAUCAUCUAGAUUGUGUCCUCAAUCACACGAAGAUGUUGAUUAUAUAUCUCGGGUUCAUUAUUUCAGUGUAGCUAGUUCAUUUAUGUAUACUAUGGUUUGUACAAUCCAGAUUUGACACAUGCAGUUAGUGUAGUUAGUAGGCACAUGGCAAAUCCUGACAACUAACAUUAGAAAACAGUACUAUGGAUAUUUAGAUACUUUAAGGGCUCUACCAAUGCUUGCUUGUAUUUUGGUAGAAAUACGGAUGGGAUCAUUGGAUAUGUGGAUUCAGAAUAUAUAGGGGAUCUUGAUAAUAGGAGAUCAUUUACAUGGUAUUUGUUUACCCUUGGAGGCUGUGCUACCUAUUAAAAAUCUACUUUGCAAAAUACAGUAGUUUUGUCAAUAAGACAUCAAAUGCCGUGUUUUUUUUAUCCAUUACUAGUUGCACUUUUGUUGUCAAUAAGACAUCAAAUGCCGUGUUUUUUUAUCCAUUACUACUUGCACUUUUGUGAUUAAUUGAUACCUAAAUAUAUUUAGUACCCUUAUAUUUUGAUUUAGGUUACAAUUGGAUGAAAAUCAUGAAAGUUGGGAGAAUGGAGUGAAAAAUGACCAACAUGAAAGCAAGUAAAGUUGAGGGACCAAGUUGCAAAUAAUUCAUAGAUUAGACGGACGAUGAAAUGAAGAUUUAAGAGUGUUAGAGAUCAAUUGGAUGAGGAAAGAAGACAAAAAGAUGAAAUAUAACUGAAGUAUUAUCACAUGUCAACUUCCAAGCAAAAAAGUUAUGCUCUAGAUUUCUAGCCUAUGUUUGAAACCCAUUUUUGGCAUAGUAAACUUGCAAAUUGGAAAAAUUGUAUCUUAGCAAAUUCUAGCCGUUUUCAUUAGCUUUCCAACCAAUUUAAAUCACCUCAAUUGAAUGUUGGGAGAGAAAGUUAUGACCAAAAUACUAAAAUCUGUUCGACGAGCAGCAAAACCAUGUGGUUGCACACCUAGCUUCAGAGAACUUGAAGGCUGAAAAUAGUUGUUCUAUGCGACCUCAACCAUUUGAACCAUGCAUUCGCAUGAUUCAUCUCCGAGGCGUGAUUUUUAGUUUUUAAAUUUCAUUCAACUACUCAUGGAAUCAAAUCUUGUAUGCGAUAUAUACCCCAAAUCUCGUCCAAAACCUAGAGAAUGCCCUCAAACCUAAUUUUUUUUUUGUGCUCUUAAUUUAUAAUGUGUAACUAAUUCACUUGUUUAAUCGAAGGAGACGGAAGCCUUGGAACAAUUAUAGCUAUGAGAUCAACCUAGGUUUUAUUGUUUAAUUCAUAUGUUUAGUAUCAAAUAUUCUUCUACAUGUAUUUAUGGUUGUUGUGUUUAAUUGUUAGGAUGCAUACUAGUUUAUUAUUCUCCACAAUCUAUGGCUAAGUUAAACAUCAAAUCCGUAAUUGUUUGGUCAAUUUAACUUGCGAAGCAACUAGGAUUAAUGAUUUACUGGUUUGAAAAUUAUUGAAUCUUAGAAAUAAUAUUUAUUUAGGUUAAAUGCAACCACGUGUACUUAGUUCAUUGAUUUCUCUAGUUCAUAAAGCAAUUAUUGAAUUAAAUCUUUGCGCUUGUCCGAGAUUGUUCAAUAAUUAAGAUUAAUUGGAUCGCUUGUUUCCAAUUAAUUAAAACUAAAGAGAAAUAGGAAAUCAUUUUUAAUGGAAAAUUAUUUUCCACAAUGAAUGCUAAAAUUGUGAAUUAAUGAUUAUUUGUGGAUCAAUGACUGGUUACAGAUUUCCAAUAGUGGAUAUUGACUUAGAUCAAGGUCCAUUAGAUUGAUUUCAUUUAAUUCAUUGAUUUGCUUUGAUAUUAAUUAUUUCCUUAAUAAUUGAUUGUUUCAAAACAAAAACCCCCCAUUUUCAUUAAUCUAGAUAGAAAAUAGACUAAACACUCUUCAUGGGAUUGACUCUUACUUCCACUAUUGCAUUAAUUUUAAGAAGUAUAAGUUUUAAUUUGGGGGUGUCUAUGUUAACACUCAACAUUUGUCUACAAUAGAUGUGGAGUACAUGGCCAUUAUAGAUGCAUGUAAGGAGGCUAUGUGGUUGAGAUAAUCGAUUGGUGAAAUAAGUGAAGACUUACUGAUUUCUAUGUUCUAUAGUAUAUUGUGAUUGCUUGUCGCAAUAUUGUAGUGAGCAAAGUUGAUGCCAAGGAUAAUCCUGAUGAUAUGAUGUAAAAACUACUUUCCAUUGCUAAGUUUAAGCACUGCUUGAACUUAGUUAGUGUUUAUCAUUGAUUUAGCCCAUUUGAGCUUAUUUAGAAGAGAGUGAGUGAUGUUUAUUUUAGAGAUAUGUUUUUGGAAUUCCUUGUAUUGAAAUUUAGUUUGAGGUGGAGAUUUAUUAUAGUUUGUCCCAAAUUCUAGUAGGUAUUAGAGUUUUGGUUGAAGUGGCCUUUAAGAGAUCAUAAUCAUAGACUAGAAAGAAAAGUUGUCUCAUUUUCACUAGCUUGUUGCAAGUUGGCUGCUUGAGUGGCACCUACAUAUUUUCUACAUAAACUCGUAGCUUUUUUGUCUUCUGCCUACCAUUCAAGCAGCUGAGCUGUCGCUUGUCCCUCGAGUGACAAGAUUAUAUAGCCAGGCCCGUUUUGCUUUUUUACACGUUUUUGGACUCCUAUUCAUCUACAACUUGAUUUACAGGAUUUUAUAUAUAUGUCACGGUUUGUAAUGUUAUCAUAAUAUUCAUACAAUAUCUUGAGAGUUUUAAAUCUUAAUUGAGAGUAUCGAGAUCUUGUUGUAAGCAUAAUUAUUAUUGAUUAUAGUGGUUUUCUCCUCCGCUGUCUAUUAGUUUAGUACCAUUGAUUAUUGAAUUGACUGCUUGACUAUGCUGCAUUACUGGACCCGUCUUACCUUUCCUUUCCUGCGAUUUUUCUCAUCUUGGGUUUCCUCAUAAAUCUUAGUAUUCUUAUUUUGUUCUUAUUUAUUUCAUUAUUGUCAUUAUCUUGCGAUCAAUCUCUAACAUUUAGAAUUUACAUUCGUUUGGUUUGCUAUGUUCAGAUUACGUUUUUGGCUUUUGCAAUGAAGUUGCAAAAUUCAAAGUGAGAAGGUAAAGAAUUUGAAUGCCUCUAGCAACCUUCACAUUGUUAAGCUAGGUUGAUAUUAUUAAGUUAAGCUCAUGGACUAAGUGAUGUGUCUUAGUACUACUGAAUGGAAGGAGAGUGUCAAGUAACUUCAACCCCGAUGUAUAAGGAGAGUGUAAGGCAACCUUAUUUUAUUCAAUUGAUAGCACGAUGAUGCUUAAAAUUUACAUAAAGUCAUUUUAUUUAGCAAACUUUUAAAGCUUACCAUCGUUAGUUUGAAGGGGCUUGUUAAAGAAUAUUGUAAUUUGUCUUGCUUUAUUAGGCAUAUUUUGGUCCUUUCAUUUGUUAUGGUUAGAAGUCUAGAAUUUCUAUCAUCAUAGUACACAUUGAAUAGUACAACUUUGUUGAGUUUUAGAUAUGCACGCAAGUUCAUGAUAGUGAAAAGAUUCCCCAUUCAUCAGCCAAACGUGGCGAAAUCAAAUCGUCCAUAUCGUUUUGGUUUUUUACAUUUGGACCUUCAGAUCGACCAUUAUUCGUGUGGUCAUUUCAUUUUGAUUCCAUCCAUUUUUCUGUUAAAUAGACAUGUGCUCUGCAUUCACCAUGAUAAAGAAAAUAUUGCCCUCAAACUUUAUAUAUAUACAAAGGGACAAAAUAAAAAACCAAAAACAGGAAAAAAAAAAAAAACACCUAAUUCCCCGAACCCCACCCCCUGCCAAUCCUCUAAACAAGAAAAAAUUAUCUCUGAAAUUUUCUAGAUUUCCACAAAGAUAAAGACAAAAGUCUGAAUGAUAAAUGAAUUAUUUUCUAUAAAAGCCAAAUAUAGAGAUGAAUUAUUUCCACGCCUAGCAUGAAAUGGACAAGAUGAUAGAUCACAUGUGAAGCAGGGGACCAUAAUCCAACUUAUACUUACUGGACGAGCUAUGAACGUCAAGGUUACUUUUAAGUCUAAAAAUUACUUAUUUCAAAAGUAACAGCUAGUUGCGUUAUUGUCAUGACUAUAAAAUGUGCAAACACCAAGAAAAGUAAACAAACCUUAUCUAUAACAGCCAAAUCUAGUCACUGAAGAUGAAAAAUAAAAAUCAAAGAGAUCAAUCGUGUAAAUAACUAUCCCUAGUUUCAUGAUCAGUAGAUAGACUUGUAAGUAGCUAAUUUUCUAUAAGAUUCCUUGACUCAUUCAUCCAACUAAAAUUCUCAAAUGCAGAAAGUUCUUGGUUGAACAGUAAAGGCUGAACACAUCUAUGACGACAAAAGUUCUCACGAGGCCUUGGGCAGAUAGGAACUUUCUAAUAUAAGAAGUGGCAAAGUAUUAGCUACGAACCUCGUAUAGGAAUAUCGAUGGAUCUUCCACAAUGGCUGAAGGAAUACUUCCUGCUGUACAUGCUGUUGGCAUCAAUAUUACUGGUGCUUGGGUUCAAGUUUUUCUCAAACAAGAACUUCAAUAAACGAAAUCUUAAAACGCCCCCAAGCCCUUCAAAACUUCCCGUCAUUGGCAACCUCCAUCAACUUGGCAACAUGCCGCACCUCUCUCUUUACAAUCUAUCCAAGAGAUUUCCCCAUAAUUAGCUUACAACUUGGUCAGAUCCCAACGGUAGUGAUUUCAUCAGCAAGAAUGGCGAAGGAAGCAAUCAAAAACCAUGAUCUUGCACUUUCAAGCCGACCCCAGAUAUUUUCUGCCAAACAUCUUUUCUAUAACUGCACAGAUAUCGUUUUUUCUCCAUAUAGUGCUUAUUGGAGGCAUAUACGAAAAAUCACCAUAUUAGAGCUACUGAGUGCAAGGAGAGUCCAGUCCUAUGACUUUGUAAGAGAAGAAGAAGUUGCUCGUCUGAUUCAGCGUAUUGCAGAUUCAUACCCUGGCACCACCAACUUAACCAAGAUGCUAGCACUCUAUGCAAAUGAUGUUCUUUGUCGUGUGGUAUUUGGUAGAGAUUUCUCAGAAGGGGGAGAGUAUGAUCAGCAUGGAUUCCAAAAAAUGCUUGAGGAAUAUCAAGAAUUACUCGGUGGAUUUAGCAUCGGUGAUUUCUUCCCUUCUAUGGAAUUUAUGCACACAUUAACCAGAACAAAAUCACGACUUGUACACACUUUUAGGCGUUUUGACAAGUUUUUUGACGAGGUGAUUAAGGAUCAUUUAAGUCGAAAUAACAAAAAAGAUCACAAAGACUUUGUGGAUGUCUUACUUGAAGUACAGAAGAGUGAAGAUAUUGAAACGCCUCUCACCAUGGAUAAUGUUAAAGCAAUCCUCUUGGUCAGUGACUGCUUUUUAUGCUUCUUACAAUUCUUCAUAGUUAAGCUUUGCAGCCAUUCUUUGACUCCAUUUUAAUCGUCACUGUAGGACAUGUUUGCUGCGGGAACUGAUACAACCUUCAUUACCUUGGACUGGGGAAUGACAGAGCUUGUGACGAACCCAAGAGUACUGGAAAAAGCACAAGCUGAGGUAAGAAGCAUAGUCGGGGAAAGGAGAUUUGUAUCAGAAAGUGAUUUGCCCCAGUUGCACUACAUGAAAGCUGUUAUUAAAGAAAUCUUCAGAUUGCAUCCUCCUGCACCGGUACUCGUUCCACGAGAAUCCAUGGAAGAGAUUACCAUUGGUGGGUACACUAUUCCUGAAAAAACAAGGAUUUUCAUCAACGCUUGGGCAAUAGGCAGGGACCCAGAAUCUUGGCAAAAUCCGGAUCUUUUUGAACCUGAAAGAUUCAUGGGUAGCAAUAUUGAUUACAAGGGGCAAGAUUUUGAGCUAAUACCUUUUGGUACAGGCAGACGAAGCUGUCCAGCUAUUGCAUUUAGUUCUGCAACUGUUGAGCUUGCUUUGGCACAACUCCUUCACAGCUUUGAUUGGAAGCUUCCGACUGGUGUUCAAGUCAAGGAUCUCGAUAUGACAGAAGUUUUCGGCAUUACCAUGCAUAGGAUAUCCCCUCUAAUUACAGUGGCCAAACCAUACUUUUCUGAGAUCAAGAGCUCGCAACUUUAAAGAAAGAUGAAUAGCAAUUUAGGCAAAGAAUAAAAUUUUCUGUCAAUGGUUUUCAUAUUGUAGACAAUAAGAAAAGUCUCGUAUGUGAUUACGUAGAAAACCUCAAUAUUGUCAAGAUUAUUGUCUUCUUACAUUAUGUCAAAACUCAGAUAGCGGAGAACACUAGAUUAAAAACCGAGUCCAAAACUUAAACAUACUCAACACUUCACCUUCACUGUCCAAAACUAUGGAAACUUCCUUUCCCAGAAAGAAAAAUAUGAAUAAAUAAUGACAUUCUGCUAAAGAGAAGCAUCACGAAAGAGCCAAAAACUAGAACCAAAGUGGAAAUGAGCGUGAAUAACCAACACAUAAUAUAAUUCAACUACUGCUUGACAUGAAAAUCAACAAUAAUGGCAGAACUUAUAGUAAAAUUAAGGCAUGGCAUAAAUUCUAUUAACUCUAGAGUAUGCUAACUUGAAUCAAUCCACAAAGAAGAACACAUACACAAAAACAAGAUUAAUUUCACAAUUGAGAUUCGAAGCAGAAGAUACUAUUUCUCAAUGCCUUCUCUUUUGCACUAAAUGCCUAAGUAUUAUUUAAUUUGCAUUUUCACUAAAAAAUAAACUAAACUUAUAAAAUCAUAGGGCAUAUCAAACACACUUACAUGAGAUCUGCUGCCACAAAAGGAGAUGUGCAUCUCGAUUCACACCCCAAAACUGAAAUUUUCUAAAGCUACUUGCUGAAUAAGAUCAAAGGAGAUUUAUGAUGAAAUCGAGAAAUACAAUUUAUGGGGAAUGAAUAUAAAAAUAAAGAUAGGAUUUUAAAGUGGAGUUUGAUCCAAAUUAUGUUUAUUUAGAUUAGCUUUUAGAAUUUGAUAAGGUUCUAAUUUAUUAGAUGUUCUUUAGUUCUUUGUCCAAUAAAAGAGGCUUGUGCAUUGUAAUAGUUAAGACUUUUAUUAUGAAAUAAAUUAAUACCUUCUCCCACAAUUUUUUCUAUAUUCUCUUCCCUUUCUCCUCUUCUUCUGUCUCUUCUUCUUUUCUUAUCUCUCUAUAUCUAGUUCUAGUAAAAUUGUGUUCUUCAUCAAUUUGGUAUCAAAGCAAGAUGUAAUCUUUUGGCCAUACAAAGUUGAUAAAUUUUGAUAAGUGUUCAAGCACAAAAAAAUAAAAAAUAAAAAAAUAAAAAUAAAUUAUUGUUCCCAUCCUCUAAGAAACCCAAUCCAACAUCCAUUCACAUAAUACCUAGUCAAUACCUCUACCAUCCUCCAAAAAAAAUUAUCGUGUCGUCAAGAAUGUAAUUCUGCUUAGGACUAUUUAAGUAAAACAAAAAAAUAAUAAUAAUUAAAAUAGAGGUGUAACUAGUAAAAUAUGUGGUGGUAAUAUUAUUACCCUAUAAAUAAUCUCAUUGAAUAAUAUAGCUUUGUUUAGUUUUACAUGGUAAAUGAACUGUUUUAAUCUUGACUUGACUUAAAGCAGUAUUGAUUUUGUUCUCUAGUGAGUGACUUAAAUUGUGAUGCUGGAGUGGAUAAUAUUUGUUUCUUGUUAUCGUCAUUGUUGAGGAUACUUUGGCCCAAUCUAAGGCAUAAUUCCUGUAACAGAUUUGACCCCACUAUUCUAGCCUAAUUAUAUUUUAAUCUAGCUAAAUUAUGGGAUAUUCUUUCCAUCAAUUUCAUUGUAAUUAAGUUGUAAAUAUUUUAGAUUGAUUUGUAAGAACCUUGUAAAUCUAUAUAAAUAGACAUACUCACCAUCACUAAGAGCAGUGUAGUGAUCUAUUCUUCAAAGAUUUUCAUGGUAUCAAAGCCAUUCUUGGAUUAACAUCUAUUGAUCAUUCAAUCUCAUCAUGGUUGCCGAAUCCACACUCUUCUCUUUCAAGACCAUGAUCUACAUGGUAACAAUUAACUCUCCUCCUCAAACUACCUCAUGUGGAAAUGCCUACUACUUCCCUUUCUUGAGAGUCAAGCACUACUUGGUCAUGUAGAUGGAACCCUUGAGCCUCCACCAAGAUUUGACCCACCCACCUCCCAAACACUGAACACCAAAUACUUAGACUAGAAAAUAAUUGAUCAGAAGUUUCUCAGCCUUCUUCUCUUUUCCCUCACCAAAGAGGCCAUGGCUGAGGUCGUCAGCCUCUCCACUUCCCGCGAGGUUCGGGUUGCCUUGGAAAACACCUUCAGCCACCUCUCCAAAACUCGCGAGACUCGCCUCAAAGAUGAUCUCCAAUUGAUGAAGUGUGGAACACGUUCUGUCUCCGAGUAGUCUCGUGUCUUUAAGGCAUUUUGUGACCAACUACAUGCCAUUGGACGACCAGUUGAUGAGAUGGACAAAGUCCAUUGGUUCUUCGAGGUCUUGACACUGAUUUCUCGUCAUUCUCAAUUGCACAGAUGGUGGUCACUCCUCUCCCCUUCUUCACUGACCUCGUGUCCAAAGCUGAAAGCUUUGAACUGUUCCAAAAAUCUCUUAAAUCUUCAAGUCCACCUAAAGUAGCGUUCACUGCUACGAAUCGCACUUUCAAUCUUGUGAGUAACAAGGGCCACCUCUCAUGCACCAAUCACGGAAGCAACAACAAUCAAGCCUACUCCGAUCGUGGUAACAGACGAAAAUUUUCUGGCCAAGGAUGUUGUCCCCGGUGAUGUCAGAUUUGUCAGAUCGAAGGACACUACGCUGAAUGUUGUGACCAGAGGUAUUCUCGACGAGACCUCAUCUUGUCGAGGCUUUCAAUAAAUCAUGCUCCAUAUUUGAAAAUGAGGCCUCAUAUUGGUAUUUGGACACUGGGUCUUCGCCCACAUGAGCACCAAUCCAUCUAUUACGGAUCACUCAAGUAAUUACACCGGUAAGGAUUGUGUAAUUGUAGGAAAUGAUGCUUCCCUACCUAUAACUCACACUGGUACAGUCUCUCCCAAUCAAAAUCUUCAUUUAUUUGAUGUUUUAGUUGUUCCUCAUUUAACCAAAAAUCUUUUGUCCAUUAGUAAAUUAACUUCUGAUUUUCCUUUGUCUAUUACUUUCACUAAUAAUUCUUUUACUAUUCAGAAUCGUCACACGAGAGAGGGGUGGCAAACGGUAAAUGAGAUGGUGGAUUAUAUGUGCUAGAGCAUGGAAACCCCACCUUUAUUUUUGUUCUUACUAAUAAGUCAUUGCAUGCCUCGUAUGAUUUAUGGCAUGCUCGCCUUGGACAUGUGAAUCAUUCCAUUAUUUCUCUUUUAAAUAAAAAAAGGUCAUCUUUAUUUUACAUCUUUAUUGCCUUCUCCAACACUUUGUAACACAUGUCAGAUUGCAAAAAAUCAUCGUUUGCCUUAUUCGCGUAAUGAAAAAUGAUCCUCCAAUGUGUUGGAUUUAAUUCAUUGUGACAUAUGGGGCCCAUCCCCAUUAAAUCCACUUCAGGUUUUUUUUACUAUGUUAUCUUUGUCUAUGAUUUUUCUCGUUUCAUUUGGCUAUACCUAUACCCUUUGAAAUCUAAUUUUUACAAUAUUUUUCUUCAAUUUCAAAAAUUUGUGGAAAAUCAGUAUUCUGCAUGCAUAAAAAAUUUUCAAAGUGAUGCGGCAGAGAAUUUACUAGCAAUCGUUUCCAGUCACACCUCCGUAACUCUGGCAUCCAUCAUCAAUUAUCUUGCCCAUACACACCUCCUCAAAAUGGUCGUGCCGAAAGGAAACAUCGUCAUGUGAUUGAGAUUGGCCUUGCUUUCCUUUUUCACUCUCAUCUUUCUCCGCUUUUGGGUUAACUCCUUCAGCACUGCAGUCUACAACAUCAAUCGCUUGCCCACACCACUUCUUGGAAGUAAAUCCACUUUUGAACUUCUUUAUGGUUCACCUCCGAAUUAUGAAAAUUUUCAUCCCUUUGGUUGUCGUGUUUUUUUUUUGUUUACGAGAUUUCAUGUCUGACAAAUUUUCCCCUCGUAGCAUCCCAUUCAAUUUUUUGGGAUAUAGUCCUUUCUAUAAAGGGUUUCGUUACCUUAAUCCCACAACCUUUGGACUAUACAUCACUCGACAUGCAUAAUUUGAUGAACAUCACUUUCCUUCAUUAGAAACCUCUCACUCUCCAAUUUACCAAUUUUUUGGAGCCCAACUCUUCCCAUGCAAAAGCAUCUUCCCUUGAGCAUCAUUUUUCUCCUAUUACUACAUCCACAUAUUAUCUAUACUGAUAUAAUGGAUGAGUCUGUGCAGGUUACUGACUCUAAUGCAGGUUCUACUUUGGUACACUUAGCCCCUAGAUCAUCUCCUGUUGAGUCUAACACUGCUCCUCAAGUUCACGAUCUCACUCUAGCUCCAGCUCCAGCAUCUCCAUUAGGCUCUCACCCUAUGAUCACAUGAGCCAAGGCUAGUGUUUUCAAAGCUCAUCAUCAAGCAAACAUUGGCAUCUUAGGCUCCUCUAGUCUUCUUUGUGCUCUUUUUGCCUCUACUGAGCCUAAAAGUUUCAAAUCUGCUACAAGGAAUCCUGAUUGGCUUGCUACCAUGGAUGAAAAAAUGCAAGCCUUACAAAAUAACCGUAUCUAGAUUUUGGUUCCUAGGCCUCCUAACACUAACAUUGUUGGCUCCAAAUGGGUGUUCAGAAUCAAAUAUUAGUCUGAUGGAUCUAUCGAGCGUUUCAAAGCUCGUCUUGUUGCCAAGGGCUAUACACAAGUGCUUAGUCUCAACUACAAUGAUAUCUUUAGUCCUGUUAUUAAUGCUUCCACUGUUUCUAAAUGGCACUCUUAUUGAGCAUGUCUAUAUAGAGCAGCCUCCAGGAUAUAUUGAUCUUCGCUUUCCUAAUCAUGUCUGUCAAUUGAAGAAAGCUCUCUAUGGUCUAAAGCAAGCACCUCGUGCUUGGUUCCAAUGCUUCAGCUCCUUCCUUAUUCAGCUUGGAUUUCAUUGUAGUCGGGUUGACACUUCACUAUUUGUCUUCCACAAGCACUCUGAUAAUCAUAUAUUUGCUCCUAUAUGUUGAUGAUAUUAUUAUCACUGGCUACAACUCAUCUCUCAUCGACAAAUUCCCUUGCAAACUCAAUUUUGAGUUUGCCACUAAGGAUUUGGGUCAUCUUAGCUACUUCCUUGGUCUUGAAGCUUCGACAAUUAAAGAUGGCCUUUUUAUUAGUCAGCUAAAAUAUGCACGGGAUAUUCUUACUCGAGCUCAGUUGCUUGACAAUAAACUAGUGCAUAUUCCUAUGGUUGUUUCUCAGCACUUGCCUGCAGAAGGUCAUCUGUUCUCCAAUCCUACUCUUUACAGAUCUCUAGUUAGCGCCCUACAAUACUUGACUAGCACACGUCCAGAUAUUGCUCAUACUAUCAAUUCUGUCAGUCAAUUUCUAUACGCUACAACAAUCGACCACUUUCUUUCAGUUAAGCGUAUCCUUCGCUAUAUCAAGGGCACCCUUCAUUUUGGCCUCACUUUUCACACAUCUACUACUCCUGGUGCUCUCAUUGCUUACUCUGAUACUAAUUGGGUUAGAUGCCCUGAUACUUGUUGAUCUACCUCUGGUUACUCCAUCUAUAUUGGAGAGAAUUUGGUUUCUUGGUGUGCUAAGAAGCAACCCACAGUCUCUCGUUCUAACUGUGAAUCUAAAUAUCGUGCCCUUGCUCAUGCUGCUUUUAAGCUUCUUUGGAUUACACAACUUCUUCAAGACUUACAGAUGUCACUUCCAUAGCAGCCCCUUCUUUUAUGUGACAAUAAAAGUGCCAUAUUUCUGAGCUCCAAUCCUGUUUCUCACAAAUGGACUGAGCAUGUUGAAUUAGACUACCACUUUCUUUAGUAACUUUUUGUCUCUAGCAAACUUCACACUCAGUUCGUCCCAUCUUACCUACAGGUUGCUAACAUCUUUAUCAAAAGUCUCCCUUGACCACUUUUUGAAUUCUUUCAAUCAAAGCUUCACAUCUACUCCAAUCCGACAUUCAGCUUGCAGGGAGUGUUGAGGAUACUUUGGACCAAUCUAAGGCAUAAUUCCUGUAAUAGAUUUGACCCCACUAUUCUAGCCUAAUUAUAUUUUAAUCUAGCUCAAUUAUGGGAUAUUCUUUCCAUCAAUUUCAUUGUAAUUAAGUUGUAAAUAUUCUAGAUUGAUUUGUAAGCACCUUGCACAUCUAUAUAAAUAGACAUACUCAUCAUCACUAAGAGUAAUGUGGUGAUUUAUUCUUCAACGAUUUUCGGUCAUCUCCAUUUGUGUUGGUUUUUCCUUUUUCUUUUCUGUGGAAUUUGUGACAUUCUGCUAAAGAAAAGCAUCAUGAAAGAGCCCAAAACUUGAAUUGAAGAGGAAAUGAGCAUGAAUAGUCAACUUAUACUAAAAUUCAACUACUGCUUGACAUGAAAAUCCACAAUAAGGGUAAAACUUAUCAUAAAAUAGAGGCACGGGUAAAUUCUAUUAACUUUUGAGUAUGCUAAAUUGAAUCAAUCUACCAAGGAGAACAUAAACAUAAAAAUAAGAAUAAAGGCACAAUUGAGAUUUGAAGCAGAAGAUACCAUUUCUCAAUUCCUUCUCUUUUAAACUAGAAGCCUAACUAGUCUUUAAUCUGCAUCUGUACUGAAGAAUAAAAUUAAACUUGUACAAUCAUAGGGCCAUCAAAAACAUUUACAUGAGAAGCUCUUUGACCAUAACUAAAAUUUCUAAAGCUAUGUGUUGAAGAAGAUCAAAGGAGAUAUACGGUGAAAUCGAGAAAUACAGUUGAUGGGGAAUGAAUGUAAAAUGAAGAUAGGAUUUAGAUCGAUUUUAAAGUAGAAUUUGAUUUAAAUUGUGUUUAUUUAGAUUAGAUUAAAAAUUAGCUUUUAGAUUUUGGUAGGGUUUUAAUUUAUUAAAAGUUCGUAAAUUCUUUGUCCUGAAAAAAAAUCGUUAAUUCGUCUCUCUAAUCAAUUUUAACGUUCUGAGUUCAUCUGUGCAGUCAGAUUUGAUAAUAUCAACUUUUAAGAUUGUGUUCUAGACCCAAACAGAUUCGAUCGAGACUAAAAAAUGGGAAAAAGGUAUUGCUCAUCUUUAAAAAAGGGGGGGGGGGUUAAAAGUUGAAAUGUCCAAUAAAAUUACCGUUUGACUUUUUCAAAUGAAUUUUAGAAAAUUGCAACUUGGUCCCUCAAAUAUUCUUGAUUUUUAUGUGCAAUUAAAAUUAAUUUUCAGAUAAUGAAAAAAAAAUAAUUUUGGACUCGAUUAAAUUCUAAUUUUUUUUUUUUUAUAAAAAUUGAGAAUAUUUGUUAAGCAGUAUUUGCCUAGUGGGAGUUUUUUUUUUUUUUUUUGAAGUGUUUCAUUUUUAAAUGAAAAAUACUACGAAGGUAUUUAAAAUAAUGCAUUAUAUAUACGUUCAUGAGUUGUGUGGGUUUUAAUUAGGCUAUGUGAUCCAUUGUGACUUGUUUUCAAUUUUUUGUGCUUGAUCAAAUAUGGCUAGAUCUGUGCACAUUUAUAGCAUCCUUAGAAGGAAUGCUAGAAAAUCAAAGGCUAUGAAACUUGUUGAAAUGUUCCAUGAUUAUCGAUAUAAAUGAAUGGAUCUGGAACAUGAUCUAUUGUGGAACACGUAAAUAUUUUGGGAUAUAAGUUUUUGAUGACAAGCAAAAUAUAAUAAUUCUAAUGUCACUUCCCAGUUAUUAGGACUGUGUUUCGACCGAGAUUUAGAUGGGAUUGAGAAUUUGUAAAAUAAAACUUAAACUAUGUUAGUUUUAUUUUUGAAUUAUAAUUGAAGUUAUCUUCUGAAAGAAUUAAUUUGUUAUAUCAGGAUGCAUGUCAUGAUUGGAUAAAUGUGCAUAUUUAUGUUUUUAUUGCAUAUUAUGAAGUUAUCUAAUUGAAUACAUCAUGUAUUGUUAUAAAUGCUAAGGUCAGUAGAAUUAGUGAGAUUCUUACUAAGACAUAUUGAUUGUCAGUUGAGUGAUAGUUCGGUGAUUGGAAGAUUUAGAGAAAAUCUCACCAAGAACUAUUCGAUUCAUCAAUUGAGUGGGAGUUCUGAAGUUGGAAUAAUUAAUGUGAUUCUCACUUAGAACCCAUUGAAUUUUGCAUUAUUAAAUUAAGUUUAUAAUAGUGAAACGAUAGGAUUACGGACGAUGAUUGGGAACAUAGUGAACUUUCGACUCUGUGCCUAACGUUGAACUAUCGUAGAUGUUAAUUUGCGUUAAUACAAAAUUAAAUAUGUACAUAAAUGGGCAUUGAUUAAGAAUAACAUGUCUCUAAAAAUCGGAUAGAUCAUGGCAUCAAAAUCUAUAGAAGUUAACCUUAAUAAAAGUGAUAAACUAAAUGCGAUAACAUUUAGCAUGAUAAGAUUUUAAAUGUACUAGAAGGACAUGAUGCUUUAGAGAGCAUCAACCACGUAAUAGAAGACCUUAUGUAGGUCAUACUACUCUAGAGAAUAAAGAUCAGAAUCAAACUUAGUCGAGUACGGGAAAAUGUGAAUUUUAGUACUCGAGCAUUUAAAUUGUUAAGUUAUGUUAUAAAUGAUCUUUUCUUCUCAAAUGUGACUUAGUUGGUGGUUAGCAUAGUGUUAACAUUUUCAUUGGUCACAUUAAUUUUAGAUGAGUAGUAAGUUCAAAUUAGUCUCUUCUUAAUAUAUGGAAUUUUGAAAGUGAUUGUGACUUACAAAUUGAAGUGUCAAUUUUUUUUCUAUUGAUACUACCAGCUAUGUGAGUUAAAAGACGUGCGACUUGAUGUUGCUAAGUCUCGAGGACAUUGCUAGUGUAGCAAUGUUCUAGCUUGCAUAAGAUUUUGAAUCUUAAGCAUUGAAUGAGCUAGAACAAAUGCGGGAUAGAUGUGGGAGAUUGGUAAAGGGACCAAGACGAACUAUCAGAUUGUAAGUGAAUGAAAGUGGUUUUGGUAGAGGAUCAAUGUUAUAAAGGUUCAAGUGCUUCAACUAUAUGAUUUGAAUCCCUUACCUUGAAAGUGGUUAAGCUAAAAGAUAUUGCACUUGAAUAUAUUCCUCCUAGUGUUGUUUACAUGUCAACACUAUACAUAUUGGAUCUUAUCUUGUGUGGAUAGUGGAUUAAAAGGUUAGAAACCCACUUUAUAUGAGAUUAAAAGUUAUAUUAUUCUAUUGUCGAGUCUUUGACUUGAUACAAAGUAGAUAUAUACAAAUAUUAAAGAUAGGGUGGAUGUUUAUAUGACUGAUACUGGAAUUUAGUAUUGCAAAGUGGAGAAUCUGACCUCUUAUUUGAUAUUAAGAUAGUAUCAAAGAUUCCACUAAAUUUGAUCUCAAUUAUUGUUCUUCUAAGAGUGGUCUCUUACCUGAACUUAUGCGUGGUAUUUCUAUUCGUACUCACAGUGGUGACGUUUAUUAUGGUUCUGGAUAUUUGUGCAAUUGUUUGAGGUUUUGAGUUGAGAAAAUCAUUCAAAACUGUAAGAGCUAAAUUUCUGUAGAAUAAAUCCUUCAAAUUUUUUUUGCGGACUGUGAUUAAAAGAGAUAGAGAUGGAACUUUACUUUUCAUUACAUUUAUAGAUAGAUUCAGGCAUUUCAGAUAUGCUUCUAAUUUUCUUAAAUUGAAGAUAUUGUAUUGGUUUAGAUUUUUCUGAAGUCAAGUAGAAAAUUAGAUUGUGGAAGUGAAGACUUUGAGAAUUAUCUGAUGUCAUGACUCUCUAUCACAAGAUAUCAAUGAUCUAUGCAAUGAAAGAGAUUCUUAUUUGAUAGACUAUUUCUUAGUCACCAAUAAUUAUAUGGUGUAUUUGAUUGAAGGAACGCAAUAUUGCUGAAUGUGAUGAGGUUUGAGAUAUAGAGUCCAACUUACGUAUUUGCUUUUGAAAAGAGCGUUGCCUAACUACAAUGUAUCAGUUAAUGGAGCUCUCUCAAUGUUGGUGACUUCAUAAUAUAUAAGUUUGGACACGUAAAUAAUCUAAUGUGGGUUAUCACAGACUCUUAAUUGACUAUAUAUAAUCUCGAUAAUGAGUAUAGGAACAUGAGUCUGUUAAGAACAAGAUGUGUCUCGAUGACAUAAAUGUAGUCCAAAAAGAUACUUCAGUGAAAUUUUUGGACGGAUAUCGAGUCAUAAGAUAUGACAUUUGACAUUUUUCCCAGUAAGGGAGAAAAAGAUUGGAGAACAUCAUUGAAAUUCAUAUUAUAUGUAUUGAUGAAUUAGUUUUGAAUAUAUAAGAGAUGAUUCAAACUUCUAAUUCAAGUGGGUGUAAUCUGUUUCCGAGUUGGACUCAUCUAGCCAAGUGGGAGCUAUAUAAGAACUGUCUAAUUUCAAUGAUUCUUGGUUCCAAGUUGGAUCUAAGAGCUAGUUCAAAAAAUCAAAAGGGGAAUUUCGAGAAAAGUGAUGGAAGUCUAUAUAUGGAGAAUAUAAUUUCAACCUAAUCUGGAUUUGGUGAAAGUUCUAUGCAGACAUUAUAUUUACCGAAAACAUUCAGGUUCUUGAAAGUUAAGUGGAAGACUAAUGAGUUUCUGAUAGAUAAAGCUCAUUUUUUAAAAAGAUUAUACUUAAUGUGAGUAUAUUGAGUUGGAUAAAUUUUUUCAUAACGAUGGGAUUCACUUCUGUGCAUCAAUUCUAGCCUUGAUGGUAUGUUUAAAUUUGGAGUUGCACCAAAUCAACCUAGAGACUGUAUUUUUUAUUCUCAAUUGAGAAAUGAUUAAAGAUAUCAACAUGAAUCGACUUUUAGAUUACAUGUUAAAGCCUUUUUUUUUUGUAUUGUGGUAACUUUACAGUUACACGCAUGGCCAAAUACAUUCAUCUCGACGGUUGUACUCGAGUUUUUAACGGGGUUAAAUCUUGUACAAGAAUUUCGUCAUAUGGACGACAAUUACUGUAUUUGUAUAAAAUGUCUGGUAGUGGGUUGUAAUUCUAAUAUUGUUAUUGAUGACAUUGGAUUGGCUAAGCAUGAUAAGGAGUGUACAAAGACCAUUUUGAAAUGAUUGUUGUCAAUUUUUGAGACAAAAGACAUGGGUUUAGCAAAUUGUAUGAUUUGUGUUAAGAACACUUUUCGUAUAUUCUUAUUCUAUUAUAAGAGUUUUAUACUAUAAAUGCUCAUGUGGAAUUACAACUGUGACAAUAUAAGUCUUCAUAAAUGUCCAAAGAUUUUAUAAGUGCACAAAGAAAUAUCCAGAGAAUCAUAUCUAGUACGAUUAAGAGUUAGGAAAUAGAAGUAUACUAUGAUAUAUAUUUUUCCUAACAAUGAUCAUGCCAUGGAUCUAAUCAGUAGGUAUCAAUAUUAUCUUUAGAAAAUGUAUUGCGAUACCUGAAGGAUGCUGUGAUCAGUUAUUCUAUUUCGUUGUUAAAGGAAUAACUUAUGAUUGGAAUAUAUAUACAAUUGUUGACUAAGAAUGAGAGUUAGUCGAGCAUAAUUAGUUAUUUGACUUGUGCGCUUUUGCUAGAUAGAGUAGCAAGAAGCAUAUGUUAUUAUGUAUAUCUUGGUAGCUAAAGAAAUUGUUUGGUAUGGAUGUAUUGAGCAUCUAAUGAUACUGGUUGAGAAUAUGAAAUCCAUGAUAGUUACACAACUAUCUUAUAUGUUAAGAUCUCAAGUAUCAAAAUAGAACCAAACACUUAAUGGUAAUUAUGUGAGAGACAUUAGCAAAGAAAGUGUCUUUGCGCUAUAUCUACAUAAAUGAUGAUAUGUAAUCAUCAUACUUAGAAGAUGUCUAGAGAUAUAUUUGUUGAUAAUAUGGAAUCUCUAGAAUUUCGUAGAAGAUGAUACUUGGUGUAUCAGACAAACUCUUGAUUGAGUUUUGUGUGCCCAUAGAUGAACGAUUUUGAGUUCAUGUGUAAUCUAAUAUUGGGGUUACAAGAUAAAUGAUUUGUAUGCACAUAUAAAGUAUGUUGAAUGGGUUGAGAUUGACUUACUCACACAAGCAAUCGCCUCAGACGUUUUAAGAUGUGCUGAAAUGAGACACAGUGAUCAUGUUGUGUACAUGAUCCAGUCGCCUUGAUAGUGAUCAUUUUGUUUACAUUAUCCAGUCACUUUGAUAAGGUAUCAAGAUGAUAUUACAACAAGUAAUCGAAAUGAAUUUCACUAUCCAUUAAACCCGUUUAGUAGCGAAAUCGAGUUCUUGAUUUGAGAAUGCCUGGAGGAAUGAACAUAAGGAGAACUCAAGUUAAGUAUCGAAAAAUACUUGAAUUAGGAUUUAUACGAUGUUAUUUGCUUACAAAGAAUAUGACAUACGGCCUAAGAAAGGAAGAAAACAUCGUAGCAUGUGUUUCAUACCGCGUGUGCUUUUACGAUCAAUAUUGGGUAAAUUAGUGAAUGGAUCCCUGCUUCCUCAUUAUGUGAGACCCUGAGGUUUAUGUAACCUCAUAUAGACCCUUAUAACUUUUUUUUUGUUUCUUGAGAUUUCAUUUCAGUGUUGCUACUUUAGCAUGUUGCCAAUGACUAUGAUUGAUUCGGUUUGAUGGGGCAUGUCUAGGAAAGCAGCUGAUUUAAAAUCAAAUGAUUCAAGUAGGAAAUGAAAACUAUUUUGACCAACAUUUAUAUUUGUAUUCACUGGCCAAACAAUUGUGUUUAACCAUUUGGGGUAUAGAAUGCAAUUGUGAAUACAAUGAUAUGAUGCGGAGUUCAAGUAUGUUCUACAAAUACUCGAGGGAUCAGAAAUACUUGAAUUAAUGUUGGAAAAUGAGCUUGGGGCAUAGCGAGAUGUGAUGUUCCUCCUCUAGUAGAGCUACUAUAUAUCCCUAACAGGUUUAUAGUACCGUGAACUAUAAUAUUACUCAUUGGUCGCAUGAACUAUUUUCCGAAUGAAUCUUUGUGAGAUAAAUCUUGAGAAGGAUCUAAGGCAUGACAUUUGUUGUCACUUAUGGUUCAGAUCAACCCAAUCAUAUGCGAGUGGGAGAUGUUGGAAAAUAUGGAUAAUGGGUCGCCCAUGUGAGGUGACCCAACCUGUAGGAUUUUAUAAAGGUUGGAGGGAGUGGUUUGAAUUUAGAAUUCAAACCCAUAACUCCCAAGUAACCACUUAAAACUUCCAUAUAGAAGUUAUGGAAAAGAGGGGGAAAAUGCAAGACAUGAGAAAAAUGGUGAAAAAAAUUCGUAUGGAAAUUCACCUCAAAAUUUGAAAGUCCCUAGAAUCACAUUUUUGACAUGAAAUCUCACAAGAAAUGUCACUUAGAUUGUGGACAAUAAUCCCUUUCCAAUGUGAUCGGGAUUUAGAUCAUUGGAGUACAAGAAAAUACAAAUUUUGGAGAUUUGAAAGUAAGGUGAUUCAACCACAUAAAGAUCUUGAAAUUCAUCAUUUCAAGUAACUUCGUUGACCAGAAAUUCAUGUCAAAGCAUGCUACGAUUUUCCUACAUUGGCUAAACGAGUUUAAUGGAUAGCGAAAUUCAUUUCGAUUACUUGUUGAAAUAUAUAUAUAUAUAUACACACACACACACACACACACACACAUUGUAAUAAUUAGACUUUCAUUAUGAAAUAAAUUAAUACUUUCUCUCCUGAUUUUUCUAUAAUCUCUUUCCUUUCUUCUCCUUUUCUCUUUCUUAUUCUCGUUCUUGUAUGAUUGUGUUCUAAAUCAAUUUGAUAACAAAAAAAGUCGUAUUCUGACACAUCCCACCCUGUGUAACACUAGUGGAUCCGAACGUGGCAUGCUUCGAUAAUAGAUACCAACUAAAAGUCGAACCCACCAUCAAGGCUACUACAAGUACAAUAUAUCACUUUUUAUACAUCAUCUUUCUACUAAAAUUUCGGCAUUAUCUCCCUAUAAACAGGACUAACUAACCUGAUAUUAGUUUCAUUCAAAUCCCAAACUAUAACACAAUACAAUAAAGAUAAGCCGAAAUCUCAACAUUUACCAAGAAACAAAAUGAAAUGUACAUAUGGAUACAAAAUACAUAGUGAAUCUCAUAACUAUCUACAAGUGAUGCAAAAUCACAUCUAGAUAUGAACAUGCGUCCCAAAACACUGACUACAUGUUCUAUAAAGUGAGUCAUACUUACAAACUCUGUCGUGUGGCUCUGACUCCAAAAUCAAGGCUCAACUUCAAAAGAUGCCCAGAUUCUCAACUGUUGCCUGAUAAGGAAAAACGUGGAAAAAUAUAUGAGUUGAUAGCUCGGUGAGUGGAGAAGUUCAAAAUAAAUAUACUUUUUCAUUUAUACAUUUUUAUUGAAAAUCAAAUUCAUAUCAUUUGAUAAUUCACAAGCUACCAUCAUGUAAUUAUAGCCAAAAAGUGAAAUAUUCACAUAAGGUCAUGAAAUAUCAUCUUAAAAUCAUGAUAUAAACAUCAGCUGAUAACCAUGCUAGAAUCUCAUCACAUCAAACGUGCUAAAAAAUCCACCAAAAAUAUACCCUCUGACAGAAAUAUAUAAUCUGGCCCUCGAGCUAAGAACUUUCACCAAGGGCCUUUGGCCCCCUCCGUGAACGAAAAUCAAUCUCAAAGACCUCUUAUAAUCAAUUUUAGAGUACACCCAAGGCCCCUCUGUGAACUAUAUGUACAUGAUCAAGACCAGGGUCCAGUCAAGACCCUCCGUGUAGGAUUGAACACAGCCAAGGCCUCUUUGUGAACUAGAAGAAAUAUAUAAUCAUGGAUACUUUUCUGACCGAUCUUAAUAUUACAUGUCUCACAUACCAAACAAAUCUCAAUAUCACAUGUCUUACAUACCAAGUCAUAAAUGUGGCAUAAAUAAUCUUUGAGAUUCCACAUGUAUCAUAAUAAAAGAGAUUUUCAUAACAAUCAUAUAAUCAAACACAUAAUUGCACAUACCUUGAUAAUAUACUUUAUUUAUAAAUACUUUAAAAAUAUUUAUAUUUUUCCACUCAAAGAACUAUCUACGCCAAAAUCAACUCGGUUGAUAAGCUCUCCCGACGUCCUUAUCGUCCCCUGAAAUAUAAUAUAAUUUUUAAAUCAAUAAUUAACCAUUUUAAGUAUUUUCAAUAAUUAAAUAGGCGAAACUCAAACUUAAUUAUUUCACAUUUAGGCUAUUUCUAAAAUCUCUUUAAUUACUAAAACUAGUUUUCUUUCAUUUUACUCAAUUUCAUAGUUUAUUAUACUUAACCCCUUCAAUAAAAUUGAAUUUAAUCUAACAAUCUAACAACUAUAAAAUUAAACAUAACUUAACAAUAAGUAAAUUUUUACUUACCUUUCCAAAUUGAGGAAUUCAAAUCUAAUAGUAUAGAGCACUUAAUUCCUAAUACGUUGGCGAAUUUUUUCUAUUUUUUUCUUUUUUCUUUCUCUUUUUCUCUUUCCUUCUCCCUGUUUCUAUUUCUCUCCACGUGUUUGUAUAUGUUAUCAAAUGGUUUUGGAUUUGUAUGAGUUUUCCACCACCUGCUACUUUUGUUUUAUCUUUUAUCCUUUUUUUUGUGUUUGACUUUUUUUUUUAACAUAAUGUAUUACAAAACUCACCUCCUUAAAAGAAUUUCGUCCUCAAAAUUCAAUUGACUAAGUAAGAAAAAGUCGUAGAUAUUGAGAACGCAUCUGCUCCUCAUUUUCCCGUGUCGCUUUUUCUAUAUCAUGGUUCCUCCACAAGAUUUUAACCAAAGGAAUAGUCUUACUACACAAGACGUGUUCCUUUCUAUCCAAUAUCUGAACUGGUUCCUCUUCAUAGGUAAGAUUUUCCUUUAGCUCUAUUGGUUGUGAUUCCAAAACAUGAGACGGAUCUAGAAUAUACUUACGAAGCAUGGAAACAUGGAAUGCAUCAUGAAUUUUGGACAAUUAUGUUGGCAAAGCCAAUCGAUACGCAACUGGACCGAUGAAUAUACCUCGGACUCAAUUUUCCUCGCCUACAAAAUUUGAUAACACCUUUCCAGGACGACAAUCGCAAGAAAACUCUAUCCCCAACAUCAAAUUCAAGGUUUCUUCUACGUCUAUCUGCAUAGUUCUUAUGUCUAUCUUGGGCUAUCUUUAACUUUUUUUUAAUUAUCUUUACUUUCUCAGCAGUAAUCUAGACAUAUUCAGGACCCAAUAACUUUCUUUCACCAACUUCAUCCCAACAUACUGGAGUUCUGCAUUUCCUACCAUACAGUGCUUCAAAAGGGGCCAUUUCUAGACUCGAAUGAUAACUGUUAUUAUAAGCAAACUUCAUCAAAGGAAGAUGAGUAUCCCAAUUCCCUUUGAAUCGUAGUACACAAGCUCGUAACAUAUCUUCCAAAGUAUGAAUAGUUCUUUUUGACUGAUCAUCUGUUUAUGGAUGAAAAGCCGUACUGAAAUGAAGUUUAGUACCCAUAGCUUUCUGCAAACUAGGCCAAAAUUUAGAAGUGAAAUGAGAAUUUCUAUCCGAAACAAUAGAUACUGGUGUCCCAUACAAAUUGAUUAUUUCAUCAACAUAUAUUUUUGCUAAUUUAUCUAACGAGUAAGUGACUUUAAUAGGCAAAAAUCUAGCAGUCUUCAUUAACCUAUCUACAAUGAUCCAUAUGCCAUCAUGUCCACUCUAAGUUCGUGGAAGUCCAAAUAGAAAAUUCAUAGUAAUGUGUUCCCAUUUCCACUCAGGAAUAGACAACAUUUGUAACAAUCCUGCUGUUUUCUAACAAUCUGGUUUCACUUGCUGGCAAAUGAGACAUCCACAAACUCAGCUAUUCCUCUCUUCAUUCCAUGCCACCACUGGUGUUCUUUGAGUACAUGAUACAUUUUUGUACUACCUGAAUGCAUAUCGUAAUCUGAACUUUGUGCCUCUUCUAGAAUUUCUCUCUUCAAUUUCGAAUCAUCACAUAAUCUGUUUCCCAUAACUAAAGCCCCGUCAUCUCGAAUGGUAUAAUCUAUAUUCUUACCUUUACUAACUUCUUCUUUCAAUUUGCUCAACACUAGAUCUUGAGUUUGAGUUUUUCUAACUGUGUCAAUCAAAGUAAGUCUCACUUGGAAGUUGACAAACAAUGCUCCUACACUGGUAACUGAUAAAUGGGCGUGAGAAGCUCUGAACUCACCAAAUAAAGAUGAACAUACUGCAUUAGUCUGGGUCAUAGGACUCGAUAUUUUCCGAUUGAGAGCAUCAGCAACUGCAUUAGCCUUCCUUGGAUGAUAAUCAAUCUUGUUGUAGUAAUCUUUUAUCAGCUCUAACUAUCUUCUUUGCCUCAAGUUUAACUCUUUCUAAUAAAAAAUAUACUUUAAGCUUUUAAAAUCUAUAUAUAUCUGGCAUCUCUCGCCACACAAGUAAUGUCUCCAAAUUUUCAAGGCUAGGACAACUGCAGCUAGCUCUAAGUCAUGUGUAGGAUAACUCAGUUCAUGUUUCUUCAACUACUUGGAAGCAUACGCUAUAACUUUCUAAUUCUGCAUCAAAACACAAUCGAGACCCUGACGUGAAGCAUCACUAUAUAUCACAAACUCUUCACCGGGAGAUAGAAGGGUAAGAGCUGGAGCUGACACUAAUCUAUUCUUCAAUUCGAGGAAACUUCUUUCGUAAUUUUCAUUCCAAACAAAUUUAGCAUUCUUUCUAGUCAAACUGGCCAAAGGCAGAGCAAUUUUAGAAAAUCCCUCUACAAAACGACGGUAAUAACCUGCUAAACUAAGAAAACUUCGAAUUUCUGUCACAUUAGUAGGCCUUUCCCAGUUUAUUACUACCUCUAUUUUCUGUGGGUCAACAUAAAUUCUUCUGCUGAUAUGACAUGUCCCAAAAAUAUAAUUUUAACAGGCCAGAAUUCACAUUUACUAAAUUUAGCAUACAACUGAUCAUCACGUAGAGUUUGUAAGAUGAUUCUGAGAUGCUCUGUGUGCUCAUCGUGAUUAUGAGAGUAUACUAAAAUAUCAUCGAUGAAUACAAUCACAAAUCUAUCUAAAUAUGGGCGAAACACUCUAUUCAUCAUAUCCAUAAAUGCUGCUAGUGCGUUGGUCAACCCAUAUUGCAUCACAAAAAUUCAAAAUUACCAUACCUUGUCCGAAAAGUAGUUUUUGGCACAUCACUAUCUCUGAUUUUAAGUUGAUGAUAUCCAGAAUGCAAAUCAAUAUUUGAAAAUACUGCAGCACCGCGAAGCUGAUCGAACAUAUCAUCAAUACAUGGCAAAGGAUAUCUAUUGCGAAUUGUCACUUUGUUCAAUUGUCUGUAAUCUAUGUAUAGUCGCAUGGUACCAUCUUUCUUUUUCACAAACAAAAUUGGUGCUCCCCACAGAGAUAGAUUAGGCCUGAUGAAACUCUGUCUACCAACUCUUGCAACUGAACCUUUAGCUCUUUCAAUUCUACUGGUGCCAUUAUAUAAGGUGCCCAUGAAAUAGGUGCAGUUCUUGAAAUCAGAUCUAUAGUGAAUUCCACAUCCCUGUCCGAUGGUAAGCCUGGUAAUUCUUUUGGAAAUACAUCAGGAAAGUCCUUGACCACUGGGAUGUCUUCAAGUUUUAGUUUACUAACAUCUGUAUCAAUUAUGUGAGCCAAAUAUGUAUGGCAGCCCUUGUUGAGUAAUCUUCUAGCAUCAAUAGCGAAUAUCACACAAGACGGUAAAAUUCUGCGCUGUCCAUUGAAUAUAAUUUCAGGUUGUCCUGGCUGUCUAAACACAAUUUUGAAAGCAAUCUACUGAAGCUCGAUUUGUUGCCAAAAAUUCCAUACCCAAGAUAACAUCGAAAUCAUGUACGUCAAGAGGUAUUAAAUUUGCCUUCAGCUUGUUCUCCUUUACCUUAAUCCCACAAUCUCGAAAUAUAAUGUUUGCUAAUAGUGACAUGACGCGACAUGUAGACACGAGAGAAAGUGGGAUCAAGGCAUAGAUAAGCACUUUGAGUGGAGGAAUAACCUACAAAUAUACAAAGAGAUGAACGAGGAACAAGUUUGUGGAGGAAAGUAUGGUCGGAGCCAAGGAUAACAUAGACAUCAAAAACUAUGUAGUUUAGAGUAACUAGGAGAAGCACCGAAGAGUUUGGCAUAGGGGGAGAGGAACUGGAGUCUUGGAGUGGGUAGAUGAUUGAUGAGAUAAACUGUUGUGGUGAAAGCAUAAGACCAAUAAGAGAGAGGUAGAGAUGCAUGAGAGAGAAGAGAUAGACAUGUUUCAACAAUAUGACGAUGAUGACAUUAUGAGAAUCAAUUGUGUAAUGCCGUUGGUAGCUAGAAAGGGGAAAGAGCUUGAUAUUUCACCUAUUGUUCGAAUAAAGGGUAAUAAUUUUUCGAUUGAAGAAAUUUUCUAUAAGGGAUUUGAAUCUGACAAAAACAUCAUGUACAUGAGAUUUUUUUUUAAGUAGAUAUAGCCAUAUGUAUUUAGUGAAGUGGUUGACAAAGAUCACAUAUUAUUUGAAAUCAUCAACAGAGAAAAUAGGAGAAGUCCAUAUAUCAGAGAAUAUAACUUCAAGAGGGGAGGACAUAACUAUUGAAGAAAUGGAGAAAGGUAGCUUGUGACUUUUAUUAUAUUGAUAGGAAUUACAAUUGAAAUUUAAAUUUAGAGGACUUGACAAUUCUAAAUGAAAGUUUGAGACAAAAUGCUUAAAAGUAGAUGGUGAUGAGUGUCCUAGAUGAUGAUGCCAUGUGAUAAGUGAAUUUUAUACACUUAUUUCAUUCAUUAAACUAGAGCAAUUUUUGUUAUUUAGGAUGAAUAGAUGCUUAACUUUAUACAUAUUUCAUUUGUUAGGUGUAACUCGAGGUAAAAUAAUGAAAUUGGACAGAAGAGCGGGAAAUUUGCUAACUUGGGAUUAAUCAAAAGUUUAGGGACUAAAUCGCAAAGUAUCAAAAGUUGAUUUGGACAUAAUGUUAAUUAUUGAAGAAGAGCGAGAGGCAAUUAAGUGGUAUUGGAGGAUGAAUAAUCAAGAAGAUGUCAAUAUGAACCAAAAGGAAUGACAAAUGAACUAUAGGGACCGAAGUGCAACACAUGAAAAAAAUUCAUAGUGGCAUGCGCACAUGGGCCAAUACUCUCGUGCACACAUGAGCUUGAAUUUUAUAUGCAGAACGUAGAAGUGAUAUGCAGCGCGCGCAGGGGCAUUUUUCCGAAAAAAUCAGGUAGAUUCCUUUUUUGACACAAACUCUUAUGGAAAGAAAAUUCAUCUUACUACUUAACCUAGGAAGACGGACCAAACAGUGUUUUUCUUCUUCUAGAGAGAAAAAAAGAGGAUUGCAAGGAGAAAAUCUCAAGAGGCAAAGAUCAAUAAAAGUAAUUGUAAGAAGAUUGACGACGAUUGGGGGAAGAAUUUACGCAACAAAACUAGUUUUUAUUAUUCCCUACUUCUUCUCCAUAUUCUUUAUUGUGUAUUUUAUCAUUUCAAUCAAUUCCAUUAUGAACUAGACUUUAAUCCUAGGGAUUUGAUGUAGCCUACUUAGACAUAUUUUAAUUCCUAUAUGUUUAUUUCAAUUAAUCUUUCCCGUUAUUUAUUUAUGUUGUUCUUGCACAAUGCUUUCACUUAGUUGGCCACUAAUUGACUGAUUUGAUGCUUUAAAUUUCAAUGCUCGAGAGAGGUAAAUUUGGGCGUGAUCUAAGAAUAACAUAACCUAGAUUUCCUAUAUUUUGAGAGAAAGUGCGAAUCUUCGAGGCUAAUUCCACUUAAAGAACUAGGUGCUUUGAUAAUUUCUAUAUGUUUAGUUUGGAAUAGAGAUAUUGGAAUUAAAAUAUAGAAAUAGAUUCUAUUUGAUUUUUUAGAGGGGGGAAAUGGAAUAAAUUUAAAUUUAGAGUUCUUGCUUAUAAAUUUUGGAAAGAUUGAUAGAAAUAGUUAUAACAGUUGUGAAACAUUGUCGAUAGUACGGUGAAAUCACUCCCUAGGCAUUCAUAAUUUGAUAAGAAACUUUAUAAAUUGAUUUUGUUCACUUUGCAUCGUUCAUCCUAUUCAUUUUAAUUUAGCAAUAAAAUAUUGUUUCAAAAAUUGAUUGUCUAAAUAAAGUGAAAGUUAAAAUAAUUAUAGUACUCGAUAGGAUUCAAAUAUCAAUCCCUGUGGGUUCGACACUCUUACUCUAAUACUAUAUUAUAAAACUUGAUACUGUACACUUGCGGUAUAAAAUCAUGUUGCAUAAAAUUGCGUGGCACCAUGCAAAAGAAGUGGUUUUGACACUUGAAAAAGCCACUACUGGAGAGGACUUAACAUAGGACAUCGGCCACUUAUACACCAUCCUUAGUCCGACCUUGCAAAGGUGUUGCCCUUGUACGGAGAUCCUUCACAAGAAAAUAAUUAGGUAAGAACUCAAUGGAUGUAUUAUUAAAUUGAAAAAAAAACAAUUUGAGAGAAAGAGAUGAGAUUCUUUUUCAUAGUGGGAACACAAAGAACAUUAUUUAAGAAAAAAUGUAUGAGAUGGAGUGUAGAGAGAUUUUGAAUCGGUGUGGGUGAUGAGGAGACCUGUGCUAUCUCUAAUCACUAUGUUAUCAGAUCUGUCAUAAGGAGUAUGAACGGACAGAUUACUCAGGUCGGUGGUAACAUGGUGUGAAGCUCCACUAUCAAGAAGCCAACUAGAAUUGUCAUUGGGAUUAGCGGUUUCAAGGUUGGCCUAAGGCUAGAAUAGUGAAAUAGUGGUCAAAAAUUGAUUUUUAAUUGGCUUAAAAUCUAUACCAAACAAUCUCUAAAACUAUACUUUAUUGUACCUAAAUCAUUUAUUCUACUUACAACACCUCUAUUUUGAGUGAAAAUUUUUAAAUAGCUCAUGAGGUGUGCAUUGUUCAUAAAUUGGUGGGGUAAGACUUGAACUCAAAAUACUUAUCUACUUUACCCUUCUUCUUUUUUUGACUUGUUUUGGAGGUGUUUAAAUUAUACACACUUUUGAUCAGACGCUCUUUUUACAAAUUUACGGUUUCUUGAUUAAUAAACCACGUUGGACUUAUGGGGCAACAAGAGAGAACAAUAUAAAAUAUUGUCUUAAUCAAACAUCCCCAUCAUAUGCAAGUUGUUAUUUGUUAAUUGAAAGUCCAUGACUGACAUGUAAUAUACAACUUUUUUAAGAACUCCAUAAUUCUUAGUCACAUAAGGUACAUGAAUCUUAUUUUGAACAUCCAUGUAAUUUGUGGCAACACAAAACUUGCAAGAGAAAUCGAAGAAAUGUCAAAAUUAAAAAAAAAAAUAAAAAAAAAAAAAUUCUAUCAUCCUACAUUUAUGGGCUUCAAGUAGGAUCAACCUGCCUGAGUGAGUACUUAGUAGUUUGACCUUCUCCCUUUAUCAGUCGUAGUCAGUGAUUGUCUUCAACCCAAAUACCUAAUUUUGGUAUUUAGUGAUUAUAGACUGGCACAUUAUUGUAUGAUCCUUGUAACAUGUGUUCCUACAGAACUUAUUCUAUAUGUUUUAGUAUCUCCCAAACAUGGUCUAAAUAUAGGAAGGAAAUUCUAGCAAGUUUCUUUUUAAUGAAUGUCCAAGACAAUACUUCAAUGAUGUUCCUUCUUUAUACCCAAACCAAGCAUUAUGAUUUAUACAUGUAAAUAUCAUAUUGAUACGGUGUUUCUCCAUAUAGAAGCUGCACAAUGUAAAAUCUUCUGAAUUUUUAUUGCACUUAAAUAAUUUAUUUUAUUUUCAAAGUCUAUCUAUUCUGACAGGAGGAAUUUUUCAAAGGGCUCAUACAUUGGUGGGGUCACAUUUGAACUCUAAACAUUUAUCUAUUCUUUUUAACUUGUUUGGGAGGUGUUUAAUUUAUAAAAAAAAAAAAAAAAAAAAAUUAUCCAACAAUACUUCAAUGAUGUUCCUUCUUUAUACCCAAACCAAGCAUUAUGAUUUAUACAUGUAAAUAUCAUAUUGAUACGGUGUUUCUCCAUAUAGAAGCUGCACAAUGUAAAAUCUUCUGAAUUUUUAUUGCACUUAAAUAAUUUAUUUUAUUUUCAAAGUCUAUCUAUUCUGACAGGAGGAAUUUUUCAAAGGGCUCAUACAUUGGUGGGGUCACAUUUGAACUCUAAACAUUUAUCUAUUCUUUUUAACUUGUUUGGGAGGUGUUUAAUUUAUAAAAAAAAAAAAAAAAAAAGAAUUAUCCACUCAUUUCAUGAAACUCACAAGUGUUACCCACUUAUCCAUAACUUUUUCUAUUUAUUUAUAAAUUAAACUGAUUAUAAUCACUUCCCAAACAUGAGUGAAUCAUUAUUUAAAUUUCAUAUUCAACUUGGUUGAGGCAAUAUUGAUUUUUUUUUUACUUGUACACUUAUUAAGUAGGUAACGGUGAGAUUCAAGUCAAGAUAUUUGUGUGCUCCAAUAUCAUGUUAAUCUAUUAGUCUAAAAGUUUUUGGCGUUAUAAAGGGGAUACUUAUUUAUUUAAUUACUUUCUACAAUAUUAAAUUGUUGCGGAAGUUCGCUCCAAAAUCUUCAAAAUUAUGAUUUUCAGGCUCGAUUUCAGGUUACCUUUCUCUAUCAAACAACCAAUUCAAACGGCUCUGACCUACAACCAAUAUUCGACUAGGUUGUUCUCAAUCUAACCCACGAAGAACAAGAUAUCGGUGUUGAUUUUCCAGUUACUAAGGCACGAGAAAAACCAAUGGAUGAAGUCACAAAGAGCCAAAGAUGCAAAGGUAGCCACUGGGUUUUUCUCCUCAAUUCUAGACAUGUUCUUUCUCCUUUCACGCAUAAAUUAGACACUAAAAAUGGCUAGGGCAAUACACCAUAUUUAUAAAUAUAGGUUAGGCUUUAGUUGGAUCAAAAACUGAGUUAAAUGGGCCAAGAUUCAAGAGCCAUCCAAUAGGUAAAUGUGUGGACGUGACCAGCAUUAAUUUCUUAAGCUAUAUCCAACGAUCUACGUUGUUUGCAAUGCAUGACAUUAUUAUAUGGCAUCAAUGGUUAAAAAAUUAUAAAUAGAAGAACAUAAGUUGAUUAUCUUGCAAAUUUCCUUUGUUCGGCAAAAGAAAAUGAUUUCUUUUCAAAAUUUGAUAGUUCCUAUUGCUUCCUUCAUUUUUUUCAUCUUCCUUUUCAAAUGGUACUUUAAUGCUGCUUCAACAGCUCAAAAAAGGUUACCUCCUUUUCCAUCACAACUUCCUCUAAUUGGAAAUUUUCACCAACUCGGCUUAUGCCCUCAUUGCUCAUUGCGAGCAUUAUCCAAACACCAUGGUUCACCAUGAUACCAACACUUAUUGUCUCCUCUGCAGAUGCAGUUUGUGAGAUCAUGAAAAAUCAUGAAAUGGUUUUCUUAAACAUGCCUAAAAUAAACUGUUAGGCAAUUUGUUGUCAAACGACUCUCCGGGCUAUGAUGUAACCCUGGUUUUAUCUAUCAUCAAUUGGUCUUGACCAUAUGAUUGAUUUAUAUGUCGAUACAAUUAUCGAGACAACCCAAUCCACAUUCCUAUGGAACGUUAGAAGCAACCUAUUGUUAAUAGUGUUACUCACGGUUCGUCCCAUUUUUUUGGAGGGCUAUGGUAUUAAUUUGAAGCCCAUUAUUUUGAGGCAAGCCUUGUUUGGUCCACUAAAUAAACCUAACCUAACUUACCUUUUUUGGUCACUUGCUUGGCUUAUAUUCUCGGCCUCCACGAUGAAGAAUGUUCCGUCUCUCUCUGUGACUGCUUCUCGGCUUCUCCUUUUUCAUAUGACCUUUGUGGUUUCUUGUGGGCAUAUUAUUGUUCUUCAUCUUGUCCAACUCUUCGUGAGUAUAUUGUAGCGAUCGGAGGUGGGAAUAUAGGUGGUGGUUUUGGGCGUUGUCUCAACCUGUUGGUGGUGUCGAUCUAUUUGGCAAAACUGAGCCCGAUUUACCUUGGUAUUUGCUGGAACUUGACCCUACAUAAACGUUAUGGACAAAAUUGUUUAUGGCUGCAAGGACAUAGCUUUUUCUCCUUAUGGUGAGCACUGGAGGCAGGUGAGAACUUUAUGUGUACUUAUGCUAUUGAGCAACGAAAGGAUCCAAUCUUUUAGCCAUAUAAGAGAUGAAGAAACGUCCCCUAUGAUCGAGAAAAUUAGACAGUUGCUCUUCUUCAACAUCUUUGAUAAACUUUGAGUAAUCUUUUGGUGUCUCUUACUAGGGAUUUUAUGUAUAGAGUGGCCCUGGGGAGGAAUAUAGUGACGGAGAAGAAAGCAAUAAAUUUGGUUUAAUGUUGAAGUUGAGGCUUUGUUAGGCACUUUUAAUCUAGGGGAUUACAUUCCGUCGCUUAAAUGGUAUAAACGUGUCGAUGGUUUCAAUGUCAGAGUAGAGAAACUGGCUAAACCGCUUGAUGAAUUUUUGGAUGGUGCAGUUGAAGAACAUAGAUAUAAAAAGAAAAGAAAGGCGGAUGGCAACGACAGCACUGGCGAAGCAGAUCAUGUUGACAUAUUGCUUGAAAUUCAGAGAGAAAACAAGGCUGGUUUCCCUUUUGGAACUGAUACCAUGAAAGCUGUAAUAUUUUUAAGAACCUCUGUAUUUUGCUCAUUCAGAUUUCAGCAACACUGUGAAAAUAAUUUGGUUAGAAUAUAAUCUUUUUCCUUGUUCGAAAGGACAUGUUUGCUGCUGGGACUGGUACAACAUAUAUUUCCUUAGAGUGGGAAGUGGCAGAGCUUUUAAAGCACCCGAAAACUAUGGAGAAACUGCAGAAUGAGGUGAGACAAUUAGCCAGAAGCAAAUUGGAGAUAAUAGAGGAAGAUUUAGAUAAAAUCUCCUAUAUGAAGGCAGUGAUCAAAGAGAAUCUAAGACUACAUCCUCCACUUCCAUUACUGCUCCCACGAGAAUCAACCCAAGACACUAAAAUUUAUGGGGUAUGACAUCAGAGUUGCCGAGUUGGAACACGAGUUAUGAUCAAUGCUUGGGCAAUUGCAAGAAACCCAACGGUGUCGGAAAAUCCAGAAGAAUUUCAACCAGAAAUGUUUUGCAACACUGUAAUAGACUUCAAAUGGCUUAAUUUUGCAAUCGGUGUUGUGGGCCUUGCAUUAGCAAAAUUGAUGUAUAAAUUUAACUUCACAAUAGAAAAACAUUUGGACAUGAUCAAGGCCUCUGGAGCUGCUGUCUACAAAAAGUUUCCUCUACUUGUGAUCCCAAGGCCCCAUUCUUGCUGAUGCUUUCUGAGAGUGUCAUCAACUAUUCUCUCUUGCUCUCUAGAAUUCUCUCUGAACGUCAUGAUAAAAGAAUAAAUUUAUCUCAUACUCCUUUGUACUUGGUUCUCAGACUUUGUUCGUUUACACUGAAUAUCAUUGUUUAAAAGAGUUGUUUGAGUCUUAGGCCUCUAAUCCCACCUUACUUUAGAAUUUGAAUAAAUGCUUCAAACGGUUUGAACCUCGAUUCAGGGCAGCUAAACUAUUCGCUAGUUUGUCAUAUCGUUAACUUUUUAUAUUGAUCUUAGCAUUUCCAACUUUCUUUCAAAACUCAAAAUGUUUUAGAGAUUGUCUAUUCUUUUUCCUGGCUUUACACAGGAUAGAAAAGGGAAGGAGAAGAAACAAAUGCUAGUGAUGCAGACAAAAAAGAAUCAGAAGAAACAAAAAGUGACAGAGAAUGAUAGGGUAAUCAAAUAAGCUGAUGAUUCCUAAAUGACUCUUCUGGGUUUUACUUCUAGUAAUAUACAAUAAUUUCGUUAUGUAAUUACUAAUUUAGGACCUUCUUAUUGUUACUUUAUUAAGGUAUAGUUAAAUAAGUACCUCUUUUUGUUUAAAAUUUUGAAAUAUGCGCCAUUUUUAUUCCUAUUGUCACUUACACCUAAUUAAUCAAAUCCUAAUUAAGUCCACGCCUAGUAGAAAUUAACAUCUAAAUUUUAUUUUUAAUCAAACACAACAAUUAAUUUUAACUAUAUAUUCCAUGGGAUUAACAAUUUUUCAACUACACAUUUCAUCAACUUUUAUCAAAAUCCUCUAAAAUUCUGAUUUUAAUCACCACCAAACAAGGGUUAAGAUUGAAGCUAAUUUAAUAUCCACCUAAGCUGCAACCAAGGCAGGAGAGUUAUUGAUUCCCACCUAUCUGGAAUGAAUGAAUAAUAUCAACUUAGUGAUUUUGCGGUUUUGGAAAUUACACCUAUCCAUGCUUCUUAUAUUCUCAAUUCAAAAAUUAGAUUUGAAAAUUUUUUUGCUCAAAAAUCAAAUAAUUUAAACUUCUUAAUAAUAUAAAAUUUAAUUUAAUUCAACACCCAUACCCACCUACGCUCAACCCCCACAAAACCCUGUUCAUCUUUGUGCCAUUUCAUUUUUCUCUCACAAUCGUCCCAACCGUAUACUAGCACCGGCGAUCAUCACACAAGACAACAGGCACAUCAUCGAUGACAGGUGCAUAAGCGAUCUGAUUUGCUUCCUAAUGGGGAUCUCUCUCUCUCUCUCUCUCUCUCUCUCUCUCUCUCUCUCUCCUUGUCUUCUACGUCUGUCUCUAUAUUGGUGCGAUUUGUUCAAGCGUUGUUGUCGCACUGUUGUUCACCUUUCAUAGGCAUUGCCGUGUGCGAGCGAUGCUACUGAUGGAAUUGGUGGUGCACAGGCUAUUGGUGGUACGUGGCAGUGCUAAUGAUAUUGGUGGUUUGCAGUAACGUCAACAAUGUAAUUUUGUGUUGGUGUUGUGAGGUGGCGAUAGUGGUGGUAUAGUGUGGUGGUAAUGUUUGUGGUGUUGUUGGCAACGACGGGGAUAGCGGUGGCGGCGACGACAAGGGGGUGGAGAUCUUUGUGGUGGCGACAACGGGAAUGGUGAGGUGGCGGUGGAGUAGGACUGAAAGUUUGUGAACAAUUAUUUGAAUAUUAUGAUCAAUUUGUGACUAAAAAAUAAUAAGUGACCUAAAAAUAUGUAAUUGUGGCCAAUUUAUUCGAUAAUUUGUGACUGAAUAAUAAUAUGUGACUAAUUAAUUUAAUAAUUUGUGACUGUGAAAUAACUUGAAUUAGAAAAUUUAUUAUUUGUGAUCAAUAAAUAAAUUGUGACUUAUACAAAUUUUGAUUUGUUUUCGACGAAAUUUUUGAUUUGUGACAUAUAAAAUUUUUCAUUUGUGGUAGAGAAAUAAUUUAUGACUAAUUAAUUCUAUAUUUGUGACCAAAUGUAUAAAAUUGUGACUUUAAUAUAUUUAAUUAAUAAAAUAUAUUUUUAAUUAAUUAUUUCAUCAAUAAAAUUAAUAAUAUAUGAUUUUUGAAAAUUUAAUACUUGUUUCUUAAUUUUGAAAUGGGUUAUAGAUAACCUCUUUGAUAUGAAAUUUUCGUCCUUGGCUGAAAUUAAUUUUGAGGUUCUUUUGGGUCUUUUUAAUAGGUUUGAUAGUUUCAACGGUAAAUUUGGACAUUUUAAGUUUUAGGCCAUGUUUUAACUUGUCUAUAAAAUUUAGGUUUGUCUGUUUUGCUCAUUUAUUAAUCUAUCCCUUUUGUUUGUAGUUAUAAUAGAAUAGACUUUAGCCCAUGUUUGGGGCAUCUUCUAAAAAUUCAUUUUGUAAACUAAUUUUCAACCCUACAUUCUUCCAAUAAAAUAAUCUUUUAAUUAAACUCAAAACUUUUGAAUACUUUUUGAAAAUAAAUAACGCAAUAACCAUAUCCAUGUUAAAAAUAUUUAGUGUGGAAUAUUCCUUCCCAUCUAUUUUCUCAAUAAAAAUCUGCGAAUGAUGAAAAUACCCUCCCAUUUCAAUAAAGCAAAAGGAAAAGAAAAGAAUUCAAGGAACUAAUUACAACCAUGGUCCCAAAAAAUUCAAAAAAAUAUAAAUUAGUCCAAAAUAAAUAAUGAGAAAAUAGCUUGCGAAGAUUUAUUUAGAUGGCUUAAAUAGAUAGAUAGUAUAGUUGUUAUCAGACACAAAUUUAGGGCUGUUAUCUUUUUAACGAAAAGAGCUCUCUCAAUGAGCAGCAUUUAGCUAAAGUUGACUUGAUAAGAGAGCCUUUCUCUGUAACCAUUUUUUUCUCUGUAGAACCUUUAUUUGAUUCCGUUACUUUGGUUUUUAAGGUUUAAAUUUUGUCAAAGUCCUAUAGUCAGAUUUCUUCUCCCAGUUUGGUUGUAUACUACAACAGAGGAGUUUGUGUUAGCUUCUGAAGUCUUUUGGAUUUUGGUUAGUUUCCAAUUUCACUUCGAUUCUUAGUAAAACAUAGGUACAUCUUCCAGCAACUUCAACUUUUGUAUUAAAUUCACUAGAAAAAAUCACUCUACCUGGGAGUUCUAGUUUGAAUUAUUUGUUACUGAAGAGGAGUUGUGGGCUCAUAUAGAUGGAUCUACUCUUGCUCCUACUAACUCUACACAAUUGGCUCAACGGAGGGCAAGAGUGAUGUCUUGGAUUACAAGUUCUUGUGACCUUUUGAUUGUUUUUAAUUUACACGCUUAUAAAACUGCUAAGACAAUGUGGAAAUACCAUAAGAAGCAUGAAUACUUGUAAAUUCAUAUAUGAGCCAUAUGAUGUUGAAAAAAGCCCUAAUGCAGUGCCCUGUAUAGUCCGUGCUUCCACCACUCGCAGCUUAAUCCUUAACACAUCCAUCUGUGUUGAUCUUAUAAGAUCACAUUGGUGGAGUGUGCCACACAACCAAAAUAGGUAAUGCUGGAAGGAGUCAUAGAAAUCUCGAAGAGGGUUGAAAGUCUUGAGUCCUCUUGCAACUGCAAAGCUCCAAGUACUCGUCCUUUGAGAAUAAUAGAGAUCAUACAGUAAACUUUUCAGAUAAUAUGUCUGGACACCAUACAGAUUUCCCUAUGCCUUACAUCAUUCCUCUGAGUCUAUAUAAACUAGAAAAUCAGUAGAUGAGUGACAAUGCGAAUAUGUCCACCCUUAUAUACUAUCCUAAAUAGUAUGAUCUCUGAAAUUUCUGCCUGGCGCUCUCUUCGAAUGUCAUAGCUACUUGAAAAAUACCCGUUGAAAUGAUGUCAUGCCCGGGUGGAAAUGUUAUUGCCUGUGAAAAGGUGACCUAAUGGUCUUGAUCUAGGAAUAACACUUACAUUGGGAGCCCAAAUGACAUCUAAUGUACCUCUGUAUGACAUAUACUAGAAUCAAAUCUUACCAAAGUCUUUGGAGAAGAAUAAGAGUGUGGUAGGAAGAAUAGAGCUUCAUAGUAAUCAAAAUGAGUCCUGAGGCCGUCUACCAAAUCAGACUAGCUACCAUGCUGAUUUAGUAGCAAAGAUACCAUUUGAUGUGUCCCUCAAGAAACUGAGGAAUGGAGUCUCUGCACAUAAUGAAUCACCCUGAUAUGCUCUGCCAUAUAGGUAGAAGAGUGUAAUAAUUGUCCAAAAACCCACCCAGUGCCAUCAAAGAAGUCAUGCAACCUUGUAGAUGAGUGUUGCCUUUAUGGAAAUAAGGAGGCCCAAGUAGUAUUUCCCAUUCAACAAUCAUGCCAGAAGAAUAUCUAGUCGACUCUAAGAUGAUAUGCAAUAUGUGGCUCAACUUAUAGCUCAACCAACUUCAGCCUUUUCCCAGACAGGAGAGGCUGACGAAGAACUGCUACAAGUGAUGGAUGUGUUCCCAAGCAAUAUUUGCACAAUAAGAACUGGGUCUAAAAAGAUCUCUAAGACCAAAACAACCACCAAAGCUUUAUGGAGAAAGUGUCCAUCAUGUUCUCUAAUUUCUUAAAGCUUAGUCCAUCCUCAUUAGUUGGAAGGUGAAUCUCUGUCUAAUAUAAACGAUGCUCUUGAUCCUUAGAAUCCUAUAGGAACUGUGCAAAGAUGCUCCCCAAUUCCUUUAGCACAGUCUUAGGGUUGCAUAAUCUAAAGAAGAUAAAGUGGUAUGGAGGAUAGUAGAGAUCUCAACAAAGUAAUUCAUCCCCCAUAGGAAAGUAAUCGAGAUGCCCAGCCCAAAAUCUUGUUCUUCACUUUCUGAAUGAAGUCGUCGUACAGAAAGCUUCUCUUGGACCCCUUAAAUAAUGAAACCCCUAAAUAAGUGAAUGGCUGCUGCUGAUGCGUAAACUUGUUCAAGAACACAAGUCUCUUGAUCUGAAUAUCUGAUGCUCGUCUAGGUAGUAUACGAUCGCUCUUAUCUCUGUUCACAAAUUGGCUAGAGACCCCAACGUUAUGCUUCUAACAAUCGAGGACCCUCCGAUUGAUAGACUAUUUCUGAUCAUUGACAAUGUUAUCAUAUCAUCAGUAAAUGAGAGGUGUGAGACUAGAGUACUACCUCCAUGUCGAUAAUGCAUACUGGAUAGGACUGGAACCUCUGAGUGAAGAGGUGUGAGAAAUAGUUUGCAAUGAUAAUGAACAAGAAAAGUGAGAUGGGGUCAACCUGUCUACGACUGCGUGAUGAUGAGAAAAAAUCACAGGACAAUCAUUUAGGAGUACCUAGAACAUACACUUCUAUAUGUACUGCCUGAUCCUAUCAAAUCAUAACCGAUCAAAUCCAAAUGCCUCAAGUAUUAUAACCCUCCAAUCCAUGUGAUAGUAUACCUUAGCCACAUCGAGCUUUCACAUAGUAUUCCCUCAUCACACUUUAUUACCCAAAGUGUAAAGAAGCUCCAGAGUUAGCAACACUUUAUCCCCAAUAAGGCGACUAGGGAUCAAACUACUCUAUUGAGGAAAACUAAUGUAUUGUAAUAGUGAACUCAAUCUAGUGUUCAAAAGCUCUAUGAUAAGCUUAUUGAACGCUGCACACAGGCUGAUAGGUCUAAAAUCCAUUCAUCUACUAACAUUCUCCUUCUUCGGGAACAAGAUAAUAGAGAUAAUGGCGAAACCACAAAAUAGGUGACCACCUUCAAAGAAAUCAUUAACUCCAUUCUACACAUCAUCCUAUACAAUAUCCCAAUAACAUUGGAAGACAAUUAUAUAAGAAUCCAUUGAGGCUGGCAGUAGUGUUAGAAUAAAUAUUGAAAAUUUUUCCUGUAUCAUAUAAAUCAAAGAGGUUGAUUUAAUUCCAUAUUAUCUGCAUUCGUCAGUAGCCUGGGAAAUAUAUCUAGGCGGAUGGGAUCCAGAGGCAAUGAAGGAGUAUAUAAUGAAUCCUGAUAAAAUGAGAUAGCUGAACUCUGAAUGUUAGUAGAAGUAGAUAGAUCUUUUACUUCCUGAGUCCUAAUAAUCAUGAUACGAAAUAUUGUCCGAUGUCCUUGAACCAUUGCAUUAAAAUAUCGACUGUCAUGGUCACACCCAAUGUGAACCCAUAUUUUGCUUUGAAAAGCCUUCCUCAACGGAUAAAGUUCAGUUCAGAUAAGCCUAUGCAUGAUACAAUAAAUCACGAUGCUCCAUUGUACGGUCACUAUCAUAAUCAACUUACGUCUGGUUGACCUUAUCACUAGCUUCCCUUACUCUUUGGAAUAUAUCUCCAAAUAUAUGUCGAUUCCACCAACAAAGUCCCUUUUUCAACUUGAAGAACUUUUCUUAGAGAAUAGCCAUCCCGUAAGAUGAGUAUAGAGUGAACAAUUCUAAGGGAUGAAGGUUGACAAAUCAUGAUGCUUGGUCCAAACAUUAAGGAAUAUAAAGGGUCUCGACCCCAAAUCAUUGUAAACUAAAGUUUUUAGUGCUAAUCAUGUUAAAAAAAACUAAACUGGCUGAGACAGGGCCCCUAUUACCCACACCCGUCCCAUACCCGCCUCGAAGCGAAAUUCGCCGCCUAGUACCCGACCUGAUUAAGCAGGUAAUACCCAUCCCAUUCAGGGCAGGCCCCAUAGGUAUUGAAUAUGACAGGUAUUUUUGCCAUCUAUAUAUUGUAAGGCCUCAUUUGAUAGCCAUUUUUUUCAAAAUGCGUUUUUCUCUCUCUUCUUUUCAACCACACAUUUUUUAUUAAAAUAAUAUUAUACGUAAAUCAAAAACUUUUCCUUAUUUAUCAACCACAUUUCACAUCAAUUUACUAUUCUAAAAUGCAUUUUUACAUAAAAAUGCCUAUCAAACAUCCCCUAAGCUUUUAACAAAAAACUGCAUCUGUAGAAUUAAUUAAAACUCUAUCGAAUCUUUCCAUGAUCCUGCCAUUGGUUUGCCUAUUGGUCCAAGUACACUGACUCUUCGAGAAACCAGCGUCCUCUGACCCACAAUCUAACAUCAUAUCAGAGAAAGCAAUACCACUUCGAUCACGAGUACAGUAGCCAAUGCACUUUCCUUCUUGUACAAUAAUGUUAAAGUCUCCCCAAACUAACUAAGGAUCAUCUAUAGCAACGAAGAUAUGGUAAAGACCCUCCCAGGAAUCACUCCUAAUAGUAACUUCACAGGAGGCAUAGACGGGGCAGGCUAGUCUGGGAUCUUCAACUCUAACGUGAAGGAACUGCGAUUUUCAUGAAGAACAGUAACAGUAGUCUCUACAUUCCAAAACAUUCAUAUCUUAUUCGACUCUCUCUGAACUCCAGUAUGGAAGAGCAAAUAACAUCGAAUAAAUGAAAACCUCUGCUUAAGAACAAAAGGCCUCCAAAAUGACUAAAAGAUAUACCUGAUGAUGCUGAAUAAGUCUCUUCAGAUGUCUACAAGUAGUUACAUUUCUCACAUUCCAUAUGAAGACAUUCAUAAAGAUAAAAAAAUAUGAUGAGGUGUCCCAUGAUUGACUCCUAGUCACCCUCAUUUAGAUUAGGGUGUCAAAAGCUCGUAGGUAUUUCUUCUAUUCAAAUGGGACAAAUCCAUCAUCGUCUAUCCUUCCAAGCAUGCCAACCGAAUCAUCGGAAGAAGACCUAUGGAAUGGGCCCUAUUGAUAGACCUCAAUAUGUGCUGAACUCUCUGUGUCGGACUACUUUUAAUGCAGAAAGGUAAAAUAUACCUUUAUAUUUUGUUGACAAAUGGGAGAAGUAGUAGUAACAUGUGCCAUAUUCUUACUUGGAGUCGGUCCUAGAAUAUGCGUAGCCCUGGUACCUGUGUCCUCUGAGUAAUAUGGUAUCUAUGGUCUUUGUACCCUAAAAUCCGCUAAGAAAUCAUAUAUGAAGCAUAUGUAGGUUGACAACCUGUAGUGAUGUCACUGCUUGAGUAACUAUAGUAUCGCAGAAUGCAAUACAGAGUUGAUAUGAAAAGUAACUAUGCUAGUAACUGGCUGUGUUGUACUAACUGUGGAGGACACGGCUAAAGUAACUAAUUGAAUUUGAGCAUGUGUAAUAGUAGUGGCAAAUGGAACAAUAGUAACUGCAGAUGGUGCUAGUGGAUGAGUAGAUUGAAUUUGAACAUCUGAAGUGCUAGUGAAAUGUUGUAUCCUCCGAUCUCUUCAAAUUGGGACCUAUCUAUUUGGAGGCUCAAAAAUUACCUCAUUCAUUUUACCCUUGUCCUUGGCCAACAUUGCAAUAGGCCUAGUGGCAGGAUGAACUGAUAUAGUAGUAAUGAUUAGUGCGAUAUGAUUUAUUGAAGUAGCAGGCGAUAGUGCAGAACGUCACCCGAUCAUACAGUGUCCAUCAAGGUGACCGAAAUGCCUCUAUCGAAAGUAGUAAUAUGGUAUCUUAUCAUUUAAUAAGCUCUACCAAUAUCCACCUUUUUUCCCUCUCCAUCCAAAUUCUAUCAGAUAGCUUACAGUCCAGAUUUACCUUUAUGCAUACCCAUGCCUUACUAAGCCAUCGUAGAUUAAAUGUCGCCUCAUCAAUGUGAAGUGAAACUCCAAUAGCCUUGGCUAAGGCAAACAAAAUGCUCUCCACUCGAAAGUGAAUGGGAAACAAAGAAAAUGAAACCCAAACGGCAAAAAUGGAGGUCUCAUUCUGUAGCCUAAAACUUGGUGUCCAUUUGAUAACUCAUAUUGGACAUCCAUCAAUAUACCAAGUGGGUUGAGGAAUAACCUAAAAUCCUUGUGCUCCAAAUGAAUCAAAAUGUGCAUAGCAUCUAUGAGGCUUAUCAUGUAAUCACCACAAAAUCCGAAUUUUAUGAAACUUUCGUAUACCUUAAUUAUGGAAUGUUUACGGUUGAAAAUUUUACCAACAAGUGUAAACUUGUAUGGCACAGAAAGAAGCUCCUCAUCGUCCUUAGUAAAUAAUACAAUAGGCUCACUCUGAUAUAUGUAUGGCUCCUUAGAGACAAGCCGCUGAUUAGUGGAGUCUUGGGUGGCUUGUAAGACUGGAGGAAAUGAGUUUCUCUAGCUUCGCUGAGCCUAAGAGACAAUUGGUUUGCCAAAAAGGACAGCAACAUAUAAUUUCUUACCCUGAGCAUAUGAUGGUUGAGCACCUAGUGCAGGUGAGAACAACCGCAACACCUCACAGAGCUAGAUGUGGUGGUACUAGGUGUCAGGGAUGGUCAUCAUGGAAGGACUUUAAGUUGGUCUAUUGUUUCUACAUUUUUCCAAUCUUAAUUAUAUUGCUUUACCUUUCUCUACAGUUAAUAAUAAAAGUGACAUGUGGCAUAAAUGUUUGGUUCAUCCUCACUCUUUUGUAUUUGUCUCAUUCUUAAACUCUAGUUUAUUGGACCAUAAAAACAACUUUUCAGCUUCUAACUCAGUUUUCUUGGAUUCUUCUACAAGUUAGGAAAGAAUAAAACUCUUUCUUUUCAUGUUAUGGGUAAUUGUGUAGUAAAAUAUUUUGAUAUUGUUCAUAGUGAUAUUAGGGGGAUUACUCGUGUUCUUUUUCAUGCACAUUAUAAAUAUUUUGUGACAUUUAUUGAUGAUUAUAGCAGAUUUACUGGGAUUUAUUUUCUUCAUUCUAAGUUCAAAGUACUUUAUGGUUUUUAGACCACUCUAACAUACAUAAGACUCAAUUUUCUGCUAUUAUCAAGGCGUUGUGAUCUAAUUUUGGGGGAAUAUAUUAUCAUAUUUUUCAAGAUUUUUUGCUUCAAAAGGCAUUAUCUCCCAGUAUUCUAGUCCGUAUGCACCACACAAAAUGGGGGUGACUGAACAAAAAAAUAGACCUCUCUUGGAUGUUGUUCGUAUAUUACUACUUGAGUUUUCUAUUCUACCUAGAUUUUGGUUGGAGACAUUAUCUAUGGCAGUCUAUCUCAUUAAUAGACUGUGUUCUUAGGCAUUAAAUCUAGACUCUAUUUUCCCUUGUAUAACUAGUAUCCUGCCUAUCAUAAUUUGCAUAACUUUGGUCGUGUUUGUUUAGUCCAUCUGCUUGCUCAUGAGCAUCACAAACUUUCUGCUCAAUCUAUUAAAUGUGUUUUUAUGAGUUAUAGUAAUUGUUGAUAACUUCUAACAGACUUUGCAUUUUUUGAAAUGUCGUUUUCCUUGAAAAUCAAUUUUUCAUUCCAAUUUUUGUUAAGUUUUUACUUGCAGGUUAUAUUCUUCAUCAUUUUGAUUAUAUACCUUCAUCUCCCAAAUGAUUCAACAUGGAUUUGUGUCUACUGGACAUCAUCAAUUGCCACUCUUUCCCCAUCCAAAUCCACAUAUGAUCCUACUUUAACACCUAAUACUCUUCCGAUAUUCGAUACUACUUUGACUGUACACAAAAGAUCCACUCGUAUCUCACAUCCUUCUACAUGGUAUGAUUUUUAUACAUCAUUUCUCAUUAUGUUGUCUUCUAUUACGAUUCCGUCUUAUUACUCACAGGCUAUUAAACAUGAGCGUCGAUAGCAAAUACGAGAAGAACUUUGAGCUCUUUAGGAAAAUCAAACAUGGGAUCUUGUCUUAUGUCUAUCUACAGCUAAGCAUAUUGCUUUUAAAUUGGUUUACUCAGUUAAACUUCAUUCUGAAUGUAUAUUUUUACAAGACUGGUGGUUGCCCUAUGGAAUCGACAGUACUAUGGGGUGGACUAUGAGAAGACAUUUCCCCAUGGCAAAAAUGACUAUUGUACGUACCCUUAUUUCAAUUUCUACUUCAUAGGGUUGGCCAUUUCACUAGAUGGAUGUCAAAGAAAAAAUAAAAAAAUUCAUGGUGAUCUCAAGGAGGACAUUUAUAUAAUCCCACCUUCUGGAUUUUUUUCCCUUCUACGUCUGAUGUAUAUAGAUUGAAGUGAUCAUUGUAUGACUUGAAAGAGGCCCCCUGUGUAUUGUUUGAGAAGUUUUGAUCUACCUUGCUCUACUUUACCUCUGUACAGAGUCAAUAUGACUACUAUUUGUUUUUUUCGCAAAACUUCUAAAGGUGUUGUCCUUUUUUGGUAUAUGUUUGAUGAUAUUAUUAUCAUGUGGAUGAAUCUUUUACUAAUUACUCAACUUCAGCAGCAUCUUCACUACUCUUUUCAUAUGAAGGAUCUAGGCCAACUAACCUACUUCUUGGGUUUGGAAAUUCGUAGUGAUCUUUCUUGCAAUUUUUUACAUCAACAUAAGUAUACACGAAAUUUAAUUACUUUAGCCUGACUUCAGGAUUCCUCACUAGUUGAUAUCCCUCUAAAAGUGAAUGUUAAGUAACAUAGAGGAAAUAGAGAUCUCAUUUCUGAUCCUACUAUUUUUCAUCAACUAGUUGGCAGCUUAAACUACUCGACCAUCACUCAACCAUAAAUUUCUCUUUUUGUUCAAUACAUUAGUUAGUUUUUGCAAGCUCCAUGCCACCUACACUUAGCUAUUUUGUGGCAUAUUAUUUGCUAUCUUCAAGGUUCUCCCAGUCAUUAUCUACUAUUUCUAGUUGGUUUUCCUAUCUACCUUAUUGGUUUCAUUGAUGCUAAUUAGGUAAGUUAUCCUAAUACUCGUUGCUAUGUUACAGGUUGGUGUAUGUUUCUUGGAACUUAUUUGCUUUCUUGAAAGAGUAAGAAACAAGACCGUAUUUCAAAAUCUUGACUGCUGCUUGUUCUGAAAUUACUUGGCUUUGAGGAUUAUUUGUUGAGCUUGGUUUUCUUUAGUCGAGUUCUACUCCACUUCAUACUAAUAACACAAUCUCCAUUCAGAUUACUAUGGACCCUCUUUAUCAUGAAUGUACCAAGAAUAUUGAAGUGGAUUGUUAUUGUAUUAGAGAAGCUGUAGAUAUUCGGCUCAUCUCUUUUCCACAUGUCUCCACUGGUUUACAGAUUGUCGAUAUAUUCGUCAAAAUGUUAACUCAACAACAUCAUCUUGUUGCCAAAUUGAUGCUUUUGGAUCCACCAUUCUCAAUUUGAGAAGGAUGUCAUUACAGUAAGCAUCUAGGCAGUUAUGUUGUAUACUAUCUAUGAUAUAUUAUUUCUAUUUGUUCCUGUAAUAGUUGUACAUUAGGUUUAUUUAGUUUCCUUGUAUAGAUUUAUUUAGAUGUCUUACAUAGAUAAAUAAUAUAGUUAUUAUAUAUUUAAUCAAGCACAAAUUCGAGGCUCUUUUCUUUUAAUGAAAUAAGCUUUCUCAAUGAGCAGUAUUCUGCCAAAGUUGACAUGGUAUCAAAGUGUUUCUCUGUAGCCAUAUUUUUUUCUCAGUAGAACCCUUUAUUUGGUUCCUUGGCAUUCAUUAUUACUAUUUGAAUUUUUUCAAAGUCCUGCUAUUAUCAAUUUUCUGAGUAUUAGUCAUGUCGCUUGCUAGGUAAAUAUUGUCUAAGCAAUCACCCCAUGUUAUCAUCUAUUUCAUAUUCCACUUUACCAGUUUGGUGAAAAUUAAAGCUGAUUACUCCAUCGAUAUAGACAUAGCAUUGUAGCUAGGUCCUAGUCAUAUAUUUUUUUAGACGGAGAAAUUUUACUUGUGUAACCUUUUUUCAUACAAACAUUAGUUUCUUUUAUGGUGAUGGCUAAGACAUUGAUCGCCUAUUAUAGGUUUUUCCACUUGUAUGGCCUAGUAGAUUAAGAGCCUGCCAAUUUACUUUGAUGUUCUUGAUCAUAUCCUAUGAAAGGAUACAUUGGAUGGUAAAUUUUCUACCAAAUCUACCUAGUAACUUUUUAGCUCAAGCUUCUCACCUCAAGAUAUCUUUUGCAUGAUCCAGAGCUUCAUUAUUCCUAGAAAGAUUGUUUAGGUCAUUGAGCAAGGCUUUCUUCCAGUUGAUGUUUUGAUCCGCGGCAAUUAGGGUUCUAUUUUGCCUCUCGAUGUUAGUAUUUCUCAGAGAUUGAGACUAUUUCACACUUAUUCAUAGGCAAUGGUAUUUCAUACCAAAUAUGGUGCCAUUUCUAACAUCUAUCCUAAGUCCUUUCGAUACAACGAAGGAUUUUAGUAUCAUUUUCAAAGUUAGCAAUUUUCAAAAAAGUUUGUUUAGUAUCAUCUUCGUACUGUCGUUUCUCUGUUGAUUCUUUGGUUUUUAUGGAGUACGAAUGAUGAUGUGAAGUACAAUGGGAUUGCGAUGGAGCCUUGGAGGAUCAUUUAGCAGGCCUAUUACAUUAUGUCAUUUAUUUAGGUUUGAGCACUGAUAAGAAGACUUGAAUAUCAUCUCUAUUUUUUGUAUUCCUCUCACUCAUCCCAUGCAUUUCCCUCAUAAUUUAGUUUCCUGGAAUACUCCAUCCAUGAGAUCUUACAAGAUCAACAUCAAUAGGCACAUCAAGGGCUACAUUUCUAGUAGUAGGGGUAUCAUUUGAAUCAAUCUAGCUAUUGUAUCCAUGCAUUUUCCUCAUCUUAUGUCUAUAGUCCUAUACUUGAGUCUAACCCAUGAUCCAUUCUUAAUGGGAUUCUUCAUAUGAUGUAGCUUAGACUUUCGGACUUGUGAAUAGAUGUGGACUCUACUUUAGUCACUUAUUCAUCACCUAUGGUGGAGAAUCGUGGUCUAUCUAGACUAAUAGUAGAUAUAUGAGAUAUCUACUUUACUUCAAUCUUGAUAAUAUUAUUCCCAUCUACUGUGAGGGAAACCAAGUUGCUGACUCACUUGCUUCAAAGGAGUGGGAUUGACGCUACUAUAAGGAGUAUGGGCAUGUCGACUUGCCUUGACAACUUUAUGCCUUUAUACAAAUUAAGAGAUAUGACCUUCCCAUUUUCACAUAUAUUUAGGCUUUAUUUUUGCAUCUUCACGUUUGGGCAAAAGGUAGUACCUCUUUAUUAAUCGCUUUUGUCUUUUAUGCUUUUGAUUGGAGGUGAGGUUUUUACCCCCUCCCUAGUAUUCGUUUGUGUUUCUUUUAUAUGAUGAUCGGGGAUCCCCCUUCAAAAUCGUAGUCUUAAGAAAAACAAAUGCUCUCAUCUAAAUCAAAAUUAUAAAUGCUAAUUAUAAAAAUAAGAAGAAAAAAAAUAAAAGAAAAUAUAGUGUUUAACAUCUUGCAAUAUGUUAAGUAAAUCAAUGUUCAUUGUUCAAAUUAAGCAUGCGCAGACCCACAUGUGGUCAUGUGGGGUCAAGUGAUCCAUAAAAAAUUUUAAUUUUUAAUUUUUUGAUUUUUUUAGUAGUAGUCCUUUAUCCUUUACGACUAUUCACGUUUACAGUCAGUUUACUUUAUUAUUCAAUAAACAAGAAAAACCCUCCUCCAAUCUCAAAUAAACACUCAAUCUCCAAUUUCAAUCUCUCUAUUCUUCAACACAAAUAAACUCUCCUUCUACAAUAUCCAAUUCUAUUCUCUAUUCUUCAAUCAUGUAUGGAAUUUUAUGUUUGAAAUUAAAAAUUUCUAAUGUUUAUCUUUGAUUUUUUUCCCUUUACUUUUCCUCUAUUUUUCAUUAGAAUCUGUUUCUCAUCUCUAUUUCACGAUUCCAAAGGUUCGAUUUUUAUAUUUCCUUUCGUCUUCUUCUUCUUUUUUCAUCAAUUGACUUAUGCUUGUAGAUUGAUUCUUUCGGCUAUGUUAUGUAAACUUUCCUCUUUCUUUUCUUUUUUAAUUUCAAUUUUUUAUGCUGUUAAUAUAUUUUGGGGGGUUUUUGAAAUUUUUUGGUUAAAGCCAGUGAAUUAAAGCUGGAAAAUCUUCGGGUGGUAGUACAUAGACAUUGAUCGAGUCAUGCGUCUGGUUUGAAACAUUUCCGGAUCAUAGUUUUUGUUCGUGUCUUGUUUACUGUGAUUGCAUUUUAUCUUCAAAUAUUUGUUAAAAUUUACAUUUGCUGGAGGUCAGGUCCAUGCCCCCCUCCUCUAUUUGUUUUCCCGCUUUUCAUUAUAUAAAAUAAACCACACUAGUGGUAUUUGCUUAAAAAAAAAAAAGGCUAGAAAAUGAUUGCUGGCGAAAAUGUUAAAUCUUGACAAAUAGAGAUUGAGAAAAAGAUCGAAUUUCUUGAGAGUUUGACUAGAAAGUAUCUUCUAGUUGUUGCUUUUACGGUAUAGAGAAUUUUUGCAAUGACGAUUGUCUUGAAUCGUCAACAUGAUUAGAUGAGAGAUUAAUGGCUAUGUGGUAGAUUGGUAGCAUAUAAUGAGAAUGAUGUAUUCGAUAAUAUUGAUAAUGAUUAAUUAAACGAAGUUUUCAAAUUAUGAAAACACGUAGGCUACAAUUGCAGUGUGUGUAUAAACUUAUUUUCGUUAAUAUUAUAUAUAUAUAUUUUUUAUAUUAUAUUUUAGUGCUUGUUUGUGCCCCAUUAUUUGUGAGUAAUGUGUUAUAAAAUAGUGAUUGAUGUUAAAAUGUGUAGUUAAAAAAGAAGAAAAAAUUUUUUAUUUACGUGUAAUAUUAUUUUAAUGAAGAAUAUGUGAUUGAAAAUGAGUAUUGUAGAAAAAAUAAUUUAGUAAAAUGUGAAAAAAUGGUAAACAAACAAAGCCUUAAUUUAUUACCCUACAAUAUAAAAUGUCUUAAUCCGCCUUGGAAAUUUAGUUCCAUAAUAUGUCAAUAUGCUAUUUGAUGUUGACAUAUAUAGCAAUUUUGAUUUCUUAAUUGAUAUAGUAAACUAGCAAUGGAGACAUCGGACACCCACAAAAGAAAAAUACAGCAAAAUCCAUUUGUUAAUUGAAAACAGAUCUGGUUAUGAAAUAAUCACUCUUUCCAUGUGUUGACUUUCGCAUAAAGGUGAUCCUUCCAAAAAUAAUGUCAAGUUAUCUAUUUUUCUUUAUUCAAAAUGCAACUACAUCGAAUUUAUUUAAUCGCAUGGCAGUCCAAUAUUUAUUUGGAAUAAGAUUUGUUUCCUCUUCCUAACUAAGAGGGUGUUUGGAAGUGAUUUUUCACUUCAAAAAAUUGAUUUUUUGACCGUUAUUUCACUAUUUCAUCCAUAAAGUUUGACUUCUUCUCUCACAGAUGACUUCCACUUUUCUCCUAACGAUCAAAAUAUCAAUUCUCAAAAUCGCUCCCAAACGGGGCCUAAGCUCUAUAACCUAUCAUCUUGACUGGUGAGUCCGUUACAUUCAUUGAGACAGAAAAUCCUUUGCUCAAACAUGUUUAGCUUUCAUCAAGAAAUUGAUGAAUUUCUUCCAUUUCUAUACUUUAUUAUCACUUUGUUCUUUGUCUGGUUUCUCCUCAAUUUUUUGUACAUGCCCACUGGUAACAAAAAUCUUCCACCAUCACCUCCAAAACUGCCAGUCUUAGGCAAUCUCCACCAACUGAGUGCGUUGACUCACAGAUCCCUCCAAUCCUUGGCAAAAACAUUGUUGGGAAUUUACUUAAACAUGCACAGGGGAAUUUAACAAGUUUCAAUUCCCAUUCAGGAUUCAGCUUUGUAUUUAGAUAAAAAUUGUGAUAAGAAAUAUACCUUUACUUGUGAUUUGCAAACUCUUUCGCGUUAUUCCUUUCUAGCAGCUUGAAUCUGUCUCCCACAGCUGUCCAAUUGUCCAGCCUCUAAUGUAAUUCACACAGAGAAUAGACUGCAACGGCUAUGGUUUCUCUCUUGUGCCAGCAAGAAUAAUGAAAACAUAACGGACCUCAAACCCUAGCUGUGUAUAUAUAUAAACCCAAACGGACCCCGCCCGGUCCGGUCCGGUCCGGUCCAAUAUUUAAUUAAUCCAAUUAAUUAAACCCGAUCCGUUAAUUAAUUAAUCCAAUUAAUUAAUUCGGGAUUAUAAAUAACAAAUUCAAUUAAUUAAUUUAUCCAACGAUUGUUAAAUUAACCAAUUGACAAUUUGCAAUCUUCCAAUUCUCUUUUGUGUGCGACCCAUUAGGUUCCCGACCACGAUGCCUAACGUCGUGAAAUAUUAUUUUGAUCUAAUCAAAAUUGAUAAAUCAAUACACCCUUUUAAUUUAUCGUCAAUUCACACUCGCCGUCCCUGAUUGACAUCUAGCAAUGUGUAAGGGCAAUACAUGUGACGGGAAAUGUCACGUGGUAUGACAAAACCAAAUUCGUUCGUUUACCGUGAAACUAUUAUCCAUUCGUCAAUACGAUCCGAUCAAUUACGAGAUAUGGAAUUGUGUCAAUCUUGAUCAUUGAUCAUAUCUUUCACUCCACUAUUAAGUCAAUAUAAAUCGAAAACUCCUUUUUGACUUAUGAGUACACCUUGGCCAAGGAUUUCAUUAUCGACUUAAUUAAAUGAAACGCAGAUCAUAAUCUCCUACUAUCUAGGAGUGACGAAUCCUUUAUUAAUCAAUCACAACCUUCAUACGAUUCUUGACGUACCCGAACGAUGUCGUAUUAGCGGCCCCUUUCAGAGCAACAUCCAACACCGCCAAAGUAUGUCUGUCCUCAUAUAAGGUACCAUGACAACCUCAAGUCAAAGGACCAAUUCCACUACCGAACGAUAGAGAUUAGCCACUGACACUCAGAUAGUUAUCCAUGUGGAAUCUCUUAGCGGGUCUCCAAUGUUUUGUUCUAUAACAAAACAUCCACGUGUUCAUUUAAGUGUCACCACACUUUAGCUCGUGAGAUCAGCUACUUACUUCACAAGUAAGAAAUGUCACACGUGAUGGUCUAACUGUAUUAACGAUAUCCGUAUCUCGUUAUUACUUAUGACCAUGGUUUAUUCAAGAUCCAAUUAUAUGUAAUUUGUAUCUCACAAUCACAACUCCUUGUGAUUAACAGAUUACCUAAAAAUUGGAUCUUCGGAUUCUAUUAUUUAAUAUUAUUUAUUACAAAAUUAAUAAUAGAUCUCGCCAAAAUCAAAUGCAUUAAAUAUAUUAAAAGCGUUUACAACCUAAAUCGAUUGGAUCUAGGGCAUAACACUUACAAACAUAUGGUCCUAUGAUGCUGCUUCACUUUGGUAAUAAGCCAACGGUCAUUGUCUCAUCAGCCUAUGCAGCGAAAGAGAUAAUGAAAACUCGGGAUCUAAUCUUUGCCAAGAAACCUGACUCAAGUGUUACCAGGCAAUUAAUGUAUGACGGGAAAGAUGUUUCUGUCGCGCCUUAUGGUGAAUACUGGAGGCAGAUGAAAAGCAUUUGUGUUCUCCAGCUUUUAAGUAAUAAGAGGGUCCAAUCUUUUCGUUCCAUCAGGGAAGAAGAAACAGACCUUUUGAUUAAAAAGGUCAAGGAGACUUCUUUACUUCCAUCCGUUGAACUAUAUCGACUGUAAUUAGUUAUUUGCUCAAUUUCUGAAUACUAUUCUAUUUAUUGUUGUUAUGAAAGUAAGCGCCUAGUCCUAUUUUCUUUCAUCUAUAACGACGUGGCAAAUGAGUUAGCCCAAAUGGCCUCAGGUACUCAAAGGUUUUGAAUUGGAAGUCUACUUGUGAGUAUGGAAUCAUAUUGCCCGUGACUCAAAGAAGGGCGAGAAAGAUUGAACUUCACUACAUACAAGAUGGAGAUGCAAUAGAUUGGAGAACAGAGAUUAAAGGGUUCCUUAAAGAACCUAAUAGAGGGAUUAGUAGGAAAAUGAAGCUGUGUUUGCUGAACUAUACACUAAUAGAUGAAGAGUUGUAUAAGAAACGCUCUAAUGGUGUAUUACUAAAGUGUGUAAGUUUGUAAGAAGCCAAGACGAUCAUGGCUGAGGUGCACGAAGGGAUAUGUGGAGCUCAUCAAGCUGGCCAAAGGAUGAAAUGGUUAAUUAUUAGGAGUGGAUUUUUUGGCCAAAGAUGGGAGAAUUCUGCGUUCAGUAUGCAAAGAGUUGUUUAGCUUGCCAAAAACAUGGUCUAAUACAAAGGGCGCCAGCAUGAGAGAUGGCACCUAUUAUUAAACCUUGGCCGUUCAAGGGUUGGACGAUAGACCUGAUAGGGAAGAUUUAUCCCCCAUCGUCCAAGCAACAUACUUUUGUUAUAGUUGCAACCGACUAUUUCACCAAAUAGGUAGAGGCGGUACCUUUGAAAGAGAUCACCCAGAAGAAUGUUAUAGAGUUUAUCCGUGAUCACAUUAUUUAUAGGUUUGGAAUUCCACAAACUUUAAUGGUAGAUCGCGGAACAUUUUUGAAUGGAGAUCAAGUGAACAAAUUUUUGAGCGAGUUUGGGGUUAAAUUAGUAAACUCCACACCAUACUACGCUCAAUCCAACGGACAAGCGGAAUCUUCUAAUAAGAUUUUAAAAAAUAUCAUCAGAAAGAUGAUAGAUGAAAAUGCCAGAAAUUGGCACGAAUGUCUGAACAAGGCCUUAUGGGCUUAUAGAACAUCACCUCGGUCAAGUACCAAAGUUACUCCUUUCCAACUUGUUUAUGGACAGGAGGUCGUUUUGCCUAUGGAAAUCAACGUGCAAUCGAUUAGAGUGUGCUUGCAACAUAAGUUGAAUGAUGAUGAUUAUGCCGAAUCACUAGUUCAAAAUUUAUUGGGGCUAGACGAAUUAAAGUUGGACGUCUUAGAUAAAUUGCAAGUUCAAAAACAAAGAAUGGCUAAGUUUUAUAAUAAAAAAGUCAUAGUCAAGUCGUUCAGCCUGGGUGAACUAGUUUGGAAGACGAUACUCCCUUUGGAUAGCAAGGAUCCAAAUUACGGGAAGUGGUCGCCCAAUUGGGAAGGACCAUACAAAAUAAACAGUGUGUUGCCCAAUGGAGCGUAUCACUUGGAAGAUUUAGAUGGCACCAAGCACGUGAGAUUCAUUAACGGCAAAUAUUUGAAAAAAUAUGUUCCUUCUUUAUGAGAAUAUGAACAGGUAAGAGCAUAAUCAAAAUAUGUUGAACGAUUAAAGGAUAACAAGGUCAGAGUGAAAUACGUUCAAAUAAAGUCCUUUAUUAUCAAACGUUCAUUACAAAGAUGCGAAAAUACAAAUAAUGGAUGCUCUACAAACUACAAUCAAAAGUAAGCUAAUCUCCCGGUUGAUCGCUGAGUAAGAGGGUGGACUAGCCUCACGCCGCCUUCCUAAAUGCAUCGCUGCAAUGGUGGGAUCGCCGAGUAAGAGGGUGGACUGGCCUCACCACCUUCCUAAAUGCAUCGCUGCAAUGGCGGGCAAAGAGGCUGAGAAGUACUCUCAGCAAGCAAAUUGAGAAGCACUCUCAGCAAGCAAUAUGGCCCGUAAGCAUCCCAAAAAUUGCCUUCUAUCAUCGACUCCUUGUAAAGGGCAAAGAGAUGAUGGGAAGGACUUCAAUGGUAAAAACUUUGCUGCUGGCCGAAAAAUAUUUCCUAUACCUCCCACACCAAAGGUGACAUCAAAGCAAAUAGUAAAAUGGACGGACUAAACAAUCCAUUUUUUUAGAAAGGCGAAGGUUUCGGAUCAGAUUGAUUGUCAGAGUGCCAAACAAUGGCAGCAAAUUGGUUUCGAAGAAGAAAAUGAAGAUGAAGAUGGAGGAUGGAAAAUGCGAAGCAUCCAUGCAUUUAUAGGGAGGUGGAGAUGAAGAGACAGAAUAUGAACAGCCACAUUUCUGCCUAGUAAAUGGAAUUAAAUAGCCCAAAGUCUUAGGAGAAGUGGUGGAAAUAUCAAAAGCAAAUGGGCAAGAUUUUUAGCACGAAGCAGUUAAAUGCUUGAAAAAUUGACAACUAAAAAAUAAAUAUCAAAUAAAUGCACAAGAAGUUAAUGUUCAUUAAUGAUGAACAAAAUUACAAAGGGAAAAUCAAAUUAUAAAAGAAAAAAGGCAUCAUAUGUCUUAAUUACAGUCCACCCCAUACUGAACGAAUUCGUUCCCUAAGUUUUUCCCAAUUCUCGUUCUGCUGAGAGGAAGUGAUGUUCAAUUCGGCCACAACAUCAUCAUCAACUUCCAACUUCUUGUACUGCUCAACCAAGGACUUAGCUCGCUCAAUUCCCUGGGAGGCGUUGCGCUUUUUAGCAGCCAUUCUCGCCUUGCAGUCGUCCAUUUUGGCUUGAAGUUCCUUCAUCUGAGCAGCCAAAUUAACCAUCAAAGAGUCUUCAACCAUGACUUCGGAAGAGAUUUCUUUCAACUCGUCCUCAGCCUUGUUGAUCUCCAUACGCAAAGAUUCUUUCUCAGAUACGGCUCGAAGAUAUUGAGUACUUUUGGCCUUUAGUUCAGCAUUCUUGGCCAGUAAAGAAAGGAUCUCGGAGUGGAUGACCUUCAACGUCGCUUUAAAAUCGACAGAAAGAUUGAGCGACGGAAGCGUCAGUGCUUGCUCCAACUUCGCAUUCAAAUGCUCAAGUUUAUCCUUGUGUCUGGCAGCACUAGCCCUACCAAUGUCCAUAUCCAUGAAGGACACGUACUCAAAUAUCGACUGCUUGAGGAACUCCAAAUCUUCCUCUGAAGAAGCAGCAGGAUGAUCAGAUAGAGCAGGGCGAGACGUCUUGACUUGCCCCCAGGAAGCGAACAAGUCUUGGAUAGAGCGCACUAUCUUGUCAGCGUCCUGCAAAGAAAAUUGCCAAUAUUAAAGAUUCUCACUACAACGAACAAGAUAGAAAUAAAAGUGAAGCAAAGACUACCUCAUCAACAAUAGUGGAAGAUGGCAUGUCCUCAGCCAAGUCUGCCACCAAUGACUCCUCCAUUCGUGAGGACUUCCCCUUGUCUGAGCGAGAAGAUGUUGCCACAACGAGCAAACUCAUAGGAGUAUCUGCAAAAAAUCAAGAGCAACAAAUCAGAAACCAAUAGCACAAGCAAAGGUAAGGCAUAAAAAAAAAACUGAAUUACUUUCUACUUCGAUGUUUGGGGGGUUGACGCCCUGGGAAGAAGGUGGCUCAUCCAUGGGUUGUGAUGAGGAUUCUGGGACUGAAGAUGUCUCUUUAAGCAUAGUCCCCUCAUCAACCGGUUUGGAUGAAGCAGCCUCAGCAGAGGAUGAUGGAGCAGGAGCUGUCGAUGCCAAAGCCUUUGAAGGAGGCUGAACUUUUCUGAGAAGUCUAAAAAAUCAUCAGCACACAGAAAAGUUUCAAGUAUGAAAAAGUAUGCUUGUGAGUAAACCAAUUUAAUUACCUUCCUCCUGACGAUAAGAGGGGUAUCAUCAUCAUCAUCAACAUCAUCCUCCAAAAUGGGAGAUGCUGAGGCUAGCCAUUUGCGGCUUGGGGCACUCUUGGCUGUAGUAGGCUUGGCAGGGAGAGAAGAAGAUGGACGAGCGACUGUUUAGUGCGACGAGAAGGAGAAGGACUCCGAACGGACAAAGGAGUGACUAAAACAGGAGGGGGGGAAGAAAUGCUCGGCUGGUCUAGUGAAUGAAAGGCACAAUUGGCGUCAGUCGCAAAUAAUCUGCGCUUCACUGACGGCCAGAGCUAUUCAAAAAGAGGGUGAAUGGCAUGGCUAGAAUUGAAGGGGGCUAAUGAAAAAUGGCUGGUUAAAAGAAGAUUGCGAGCAUUUAUAGCCUCUACCUCCGCCUUAUUAAUAGUAUGAAAACGGUCAAUUAAGUUCCUUGAAUAGCAAGGAGGAACAGGCCAAGUUUGGCCGAAGCCAAGCUGGCGAGCAAAAAAUUGGGGAGCAUAAAUUUCUACCCCCACCUUGGCAUUGGUCCCAGUUAGAAUAUCAUGAAAUAACUCCCUCCCGGUUAAAAACUGGAUCCAAAUAAGCAUGAAGGUGCUCACACUGUCUAUAGUGAAGGGGGGAUGUAUAUAGUUUGGAGUCAAAAAAGGAGGAAAAGAAAAAAAGGAAGAGAUUGAAUCCAAAGAAUAAAAGAAUGAAAAAAUGUCCCUUCUGGACAUAUUUACAGGAGCCAAGAGCUCCAUGGCUAGCCCAUAAUAGCUAGUAGAGGAGCGAGAAAUUGAUGGAGCACCAAGCAAUAUAAACAAUUACUAAUAAGUGACAAGGUCUAUAAACUUCAAUAUCUAGAGUCUAAAUUAUCCGAAUAGCCUUUUUCUCAGGACUAAUAUAUAUAAUAAUUACAAGAUAUCCAAUGAGCCCAAUAUUGAUAUACUUAUACUUGUUCUUUUGAAAUUUAAUUAUUUAACUCAUAUAUAAUUAUGAAUUUAAAACAUAUUUCAUUUAGUCCUUAAUUUUUUAAAUAUAAAAAUAUAUUUUUUUAUUCUAAUUUUUUUUUGGGCGUUACAAUCUCCCCACCUUAAAUAUUCCGUCCUCAAAAAUUACCUUAACUAAUCGAAGAGUUUUGGAUAUUUGAUUUUAAGCUCAUCUUCCUUCUCCCAUGUUGACUCGUCUAAUCCAUGAUUAUGCCAUAGCAUCUUGACCAGUGGAACUUCUCAGUUCCUAAGUUCAUGCACUUUUCUGUCCAAAAUCGUCGUUGGAGUUUCUUCGUAUGACAGGUAUUUUUGUACCUCUAAAGUUUGGUAAUUUACCACGUGAUUAGAAUCAUGAACAUAUUUUCUCAUCAUGAAAAUAUGAAACACGUUAUCUGCUGCCAAUUUAGGUGGUAAGGCAGGUCGGUAAGCCACACUGUCAAUCCUUUCGAUAAUUUCAAAAGGUCUGAUGAAACGUGGCCUAAGCUUCCCUUUCUUUCCAAACCUGAGCACACCCUUCAUUGGUGUUACCUUUAGAAAAACUUUGUCACCCAUUUGAAAUUCUAAAUCUUUUCUCCUACCAUCGGCAUAACUUUUCUAUCGAUCUUGUGUUGCCUUUAUUCUUGCUCUAAUCUUAUCAACCGUCUCAACUAUUCGUUCAAUAUUUCAGGACCCAAAAUUCUCUUCUCCCCGACCUCGUCCCAAUGGAUAGGAGAUUUGCACUUUCUACCAUAAAGAGCUUCAUAUGGGGCCAUACCUAUAGUGGCUCGAAAACUAUUGUUGUAUGUAAAGUCCACUAAUGGCAGGUGUGUCUCCCAACUUUCGCCCAGUUCCAAAACACAUGCUCUCAAUUAUCUUCAAAAGUUUGAAUGGUUCUUUUUUAUUGUCCAUCUGUCUGUGGAUGAUAAGUAGUACUAAACUUCAAUUUCGUUCCUAUGGCUGCCUGUAAACUUUUCUAAAAUUUUUAUACGAAUCUCAAGUCUCUAUUUGAAACAACGAUGAUAGAAACUCCAUGCAGUCUGACUAUCUCUCUCAUAUAUAGCUAUGCGAGCUAUUCCAUACUAAAAUUUACUUUGAUUUGCAGGAUAUGAGCUAACUUCGUCAAACGAUCAACCACUAUCCAAAUAGCCUUGUGACCCCUAUUGACCUUGGAAAACCUACCACAAAAUCCAUCACUAUGUGUUCCCAUUUCCAUUCUGGAAUAUCCAACGAGUUCAGCAAUCCUGAUAGCCUUUAAUGUUCUGCCUUAAUUUGUUGACAAACGAUACAUUUCUCCACAAAUAGCACAAUUUCUCUCUUUAUGUUCCUCCACCAAAAGGUAUCUCGGAGAUCUCGAUACAUUUUUGUACUGCCUGAAUGUGCAGUAUAGGGGUAACAUGAGUCUCUUCCAAUAUCUCAUUUCUUAUACUUUCAUCUUUAGGUACACACAACUUUUCUUUUAAAGUCAACGCAUUAUCUGCAUAUACCUCAAAUCCUAUACGUUUAUUUGUACCAAUCUCAACUUUUAUCUUCUGUAGAAAUGAAUACUUAUCCUAUGCUUUCUUGAUUCGAUCUCAAAGAGUAGGUCGAAUCAUAAACGCUCUUAUUCUCGUUGUAGUCUGAGUCAACGGUGUGAUGACUUCCAAUCUCUUAUCAAGUGCUCCUGAAUUGUGGGUAAGACUGUUAACUGCGAUCCUAUCUUCCUACUUAAGGCAUCUGGAAUUACGUUAGCCUUACCCAGAUGGUAAUGAAUUGUACAGUCAUAAUCUUUCACUAAUUCCAACCAUCUUCUCUGUCUCAUAUUUAGUUCCUUCUAUGUGAAGAAAUAUUUAAGGCUCUUGUGGUCUAUGCAGAUUUCACAUCUCCUACCAUAGAGAUAAUGACACCAUAUUUUUAGGGCAUAAACUACUGCUACUAGUUCCAAGUCAUGAGUCGGAUAAUUCUGCUCGUACUAUUUCAACUAUCUCGAGGCAUAAGCAAUCACAUUCCCAUGUUGCAUCAAAACACAACCUAAGCCGUGUUUGAAAGCAUCCCUAUAAAUUACAAACCCAUCAGAACCUUCAGGUAUAGUUAAAAUAGGAGCCGAGAGUAAUCUCUAUUUAAGUUCCAGAAAACACUCCUCACAUUUUUUCAUCUACUAAAAUUUCACCCCCUUUCGAGUCAGUUGAGUCAUUGGACCUGCUAUUUUUGAUAAACCCUCAGUAAAUCAUCAAUAAUAGCUAGCCAACCAUAAGAAAAUGCGAACUUCACUUGCACUAGACGGACUAGGCCAAUUAGUUACUACUUUCACUUUAACUAAGUCUACUUCAAUUCCUUGAGCAGUAACCACAUGACCAAGAAAACUUACGUGAUCGAGCCAAAAUUCAUACUUCUUGAAUUUAGCAUAUAAUUUUUCCUUCCUCAAAGUAUCAAAUAUUACUCGGAGUAGUUCCUCAUACUAUUUCCUAUCUUUGGAGUACACAAGUAUAUCAUCAAUAAAUACUAUGACGAACUGGUCCAAAUACUAAUAAAACACAUAGUUCAUCAGGUCCAUAAAUAUCAUUGGAGCAUUGGUCAAAUUGAAAGGCAUGACAGUGAACUCAUAAUGCCCAUAACGAGUCCUGAAAGCAGUUUUUAGUGUAUCGCCUGCCUUAAUCAUUAGCUGAUGAUACCUCGACCUCAAGUCAAUGUUCGAAAACACCGUUGCACCUCUUAACUGGUUGAAUAAUUCUUCUAUUCUUGGUAGGGGUAUCUAUUUUAGAUAGUAAAAUGAUUCAAUUCUCGAUAGUCAAUGCAUAUCCUCAUACUCCCAUUCUUUUUCUUUACAAAAAGUACUAGAGCGCCCAAGAAGAUACACUCAGUCGAAUGAAACCUUUUUCCAGCAACUCCUUCAAUUGUAACUUCAAUUCUUGGAGUUCUUUCGAUGCCAUUCUAUACGGAGCCUUAAAUAUUGGUACCGUGCUAGGAACUAAGUCAAUUGUAGAUUCCACUUGCCUAUCUCGUGAAAUGUUGGGUAGGUCUUCUGGAAAUACGUCUGCAAAAUCUCACACAAUGUUAAUAUAUUUAACGGUUGUUUCUGUAUGUUUGGAACCGUUGAUAUUAACUAAGAAUCCUUGAUACUCCCUUCUCAACACCAUCUCCGCUUGUACAGCUGACAUAAGGUGAGGUAGAGACUUGGACUUUGCUCCAAAGAAACGAAACCCUUCCUCUCCCGGUCUAUGAAAUAACACUUCCUUCUCAUGACAUCGAAUGGUUGCAUGAUUGAUCCCAACCAGUCCAUGUCUAAAAUAACAUCAAAAUCUUCCAUCUCCAAAAGGUAUAAGUCCGCCGGUAGUAUAUUUCCAUCAAUCUCUGACUUCAUAGUUCUAGUCAUCUGAUUUGAACAAAGAGUUCUCCCUGAAUGGAUGCUAACCUCUAAUGCAUUAUCCAUUUUCACACAUGCAAUGUCAUACUUAGUGAUGAAUGAUGUAGAGAUAAAAGAAUUUGUAGCCUCAGAGUCAAAAAGUACAUUAACAGAUACAUUAGAUAAUAACAAAAUACCUAUUUUUGUAAUUAUGAUGUUAGACAUAAUGAUUGGGAAUGCAAAAUCAAGAACAUAAACAAGUACUUCAAAUAAUAAUAAAAUACCUGCUAUCACAUUUGGAUCUUGCUCUGCCUCAUGCUGAUUUAAUGCAAAAACUCGAGCCUUCCCUUUCUUGUUCUUGUUCUGAUCAUCAUCCUUCUUUCGCGAAGGCUCUGUACAGUGCAAAGUGAUAUGCCCAGGCUUACCACAUCAAAAACAUAUGUUCUUCCUAAAUAAGCAUUCACCCCUAUAAGACUUAUUACACUUAGGACAUAGUGUAAUACCUCCACUUAACCUACCGAUGCGAACUCUUGGGCUUGGCAUUUAUUCUGCCAGUUAUAUUUGUCCUUGCUCUGAUUAUUCGACUUUCUUUUUCCUAACGACUCCUUGCUCUGUUGGGCAUACUGCUCAAAUGUAGUCCUCUAAUAUGAAAUAGUAUAAACCCUCUCCAACAUUUCACGAUAUGAAGUGAAACGAUGCGACAUAAUGAUCAUUCCAAUUUUUUGGUAUAGUCCAUUUUCAAACCUCCUGAUCUUCUUGACUUCUGUAACUACUAAGUGUGGGGUAUACCUUGAGAGCUAUUCAAACUAUCUCUCGAAUUAGUAAGCAACGUGUUUUCCUAUUUGAGCUGUAAAAACUCUAAUUCCUUGAAGUCUCUCAAAGCAUGUGGGAAGUACUUUUCCAUCACUUCUUUCUUAAAUUGUUCGCAAGUCAGGUUACCUGUUGCUCUUCGGUCUUAGUGUGUGUGACAGAUUCCCACCAGUAACCGGCUACUCCAAUCAACUUGAAUCUACGCAUAGUACCUUCUGUGCAUCCAUGUAAGAAAUAUGUCGAAAAAUGCAUUCCAGACCUCUAAUCCACUCCUCAACGGCCAGUGGGUCAGAAUUUCCAUUGAAAGUAGGAGGCUUAUUCCUACGAAACUGCUCAACCAUGGAAACAACUCCAAGGACAGAUAGAGUGCAUCCUGCUGUGGUAGCCCAUUUUGUGGUGGAGGUACUUGAUUUUGUCUAGUCAACUCCUACACCAUUUGCAACAAGUCACGCAUCAAAUUUGUGUGGGUAGGUGGUACCAUUUCCUAAAAUUUAACAUUAAGUCACUCAUCAUCUAUUAGUACUAAGUCUAAGAUAUUAUUAUAGAUAACAUCAUCAUUUCAUGUACAUUUAGCAAGCAAUAGUCAGUAAAUUGAAACAAUAUCACAUAGUUUAUAUUAACAAGAAAUUAAUAAUACACAAACGCAAUGGAUAAGAUAUAUGCCUACGGGUUACAACAUCCGCUAUUAGCAUAAAAUAUUAAAUAUAAUUCAAACAAGCAUUGUAACCUUCGAUAUUAUACAAUUACAGUUAUUAUAUCGUAUUAUUAUUAUUAUUAUUUAUUUCAUUUAUUUAUUUAUUUUUGCCUGCUAAAAAUAAGCAUCAUUAUACAAUAUUCAUUCAUAUAACUGUAAUGUAGACUCUUGCCAACAUACUCUUUUGCCACAUAUAUUAUAUGCAACGUUUUAGAACACCAAGUUUUGUGUGUAAAUACCAUAAUAAUUCUUUUUUUUUUUUAAACAUUGUAAGCAUUUCCCAGUCAUCAUUGCCACCCGUUUGAACCCCAUUAACUUAUGUACCUCCCAUUUUACUUGUGUAAUGCCAUUCUUACUCUUGCCACCGCUCAGCAAGAUGGCAAAACUAGAGGCACAAAUGUCAUUUUAUGCAUUAAUCAAUUUAGUAGUCAAACCCUCGUGAACCACAUAAGUGUGCUGUCAAUUAUAAUUUAUAUGUGGGGCCUAGCAAUAUUUGAAAAAGUUGGAAAUUUAAUAAUUUUUCAUGGGGCAAACGAAGGCUAGAUUUCUAGUUAUGUAAUUUGACUUAAACAUUAAUCACAAUUAGCACUUUAUUUAAUCAUAACCUAUGACCAUAACUACUUAACUUUUUUUUUUUUAUCAUUAUUCAUUACGAAAAGUGACAUGGUAACGUUCAUUAUGACCAGUAUCGUCGUCACUGUUCAUUUAUGAACAGUUUUUUUUUUUUUUUUUAAUUCCUAAUCACAAAAAAAAAAAUCAUAAUGGGUCUACAAAAAAAGUAAACCUAGGCUCUGAUACCAAACUGUAACUACCCAAAUUUUUGUAAUUUUAAUCGCUACCAAACAUGAUAUAUUCUAAACAUAUUAACAAAUAAAAUUUUCCACCAAUAAAAACAUAACAAAGUUUUAUAUUUAAUACUUAAUUAGACAUGUUUAAAAUUUCAAAUUAAAACUUUUUGUGAAUUUAAAACUAAGAAAUUUUUAACAUAAAAGAAAAUUAUCUUAUUACUGCGGAUUAUUUUUAGUCUGUCCCAUAAGUCAUGGUAUCAUGACAACACCACAAGCCCGCCAACUAACAACCCGUUCUAACCUGUGAGGAGUAGGGAAAAGAGUGAGUGCAUGAAUAUACUCAGUUGGACGCGAAAAUAGUGGUGCGAUCCCGAAUAAAAUAUUUAGAUCAUGCUUUCAAAAAAUCAUACCGUCAUCAUAUCGUUUGAAACUGGUAAGAGCUCAUAGUAUAUCAUAUCUUUAGUACCGGAUAGUCAUUUCAUAUCAUACCAUAAUCAUCAUAUCAAUUCAUAAUUUUCAUAAGUAUAAUAAUUUAUCAACAUGAAAAAAAUAUAAUCUAGACGGGACAAAAUACUUACACCUUGUAGUCCUACCUUGAUUGACAAAAAGAGUUUUCUUGAAAGAAAUGCAGUAAUUUCACCUUCUAAGACUCCCCCUUUUUUGUACAAUUCAUGAAUAUCCCUUUCCGUUCAAUUAAAAAUAUCACAAUUUCAUUUAUUUUUGUAUUUUCAACUUGCAAUGCUUAUUUAGGUAGACAAAGAUUUUCCAUCUAUAAUAUUAAUAUCACCUAAUAAAGCCACAUGUUUUUCCAUAUUAGUGGCUCAAUUUACUAAUUUGCCUUUUAUUUAUACACGUAUCCAAUUCAUUUCAUUUCAAAUAAGGCAAUUACCAAAUUCUUAAUCAAGGACAGCUGACACCAUGGGAGCAAAAGGUCAUGGUUAUUGUGUACUAUCCCAAGAAAAUUGACUGUAUAUAUAUAUGUGUGUGUGUGUAUAUAUAUAUAUAUUAUCAUUCAUACAAAAAAAAUACUAUUUUAUUCCAACCCUAUCCAACUACACGUGUUGCCAUUCUUAAAAAAAUGAAUAAUAAUAAUAAUAAUAAACAAUUACUAAUAAAUGAUAAGGUCUAUGAACUUCAAUAUCUAGAGUCUAACUAAUCCGAAUUGCCUUUUUCUCGGGACUAAUAUAUAUAUAAUUAAUUACGAGCUAUCCAAUGAGCCCAAUAUUGAUAUACUUAUAUUUGCUCUUUCGAAAUUUAAUUAUAUGACUCAUAUAGGAUUAUGAAUUUAAAACAAUUUCAUUUUAGUCCUUUUUUUAAAAUAUGAAAAUAACAUAAUACAUUUUUAUUCUAAUUUUUUUUUUUGGGCGUUACAGGUGCACACAUAAGUAUUAAGAAAUAUACUAGCAUAAAAAAAAAAAAAAAAAUCUUGACUCAUUCAUCCAAUGUUUUGCAAUUGAGAUUUGAAAUUUUGAAAUUAGAUAUGAAAACUAUUUUUUGAAAGCCCUUGUUCUUUUAUUUAGAAUUGGGACCCACUACUUUCGAGUAAGCGGAGUUAAAAUUAUACACAAACUAAUUGUUAAAUAUAUAAUUUUUUUUAAAAUCAAAAUAUUUUUAAGAAAUAAUAAGGUUUGAUUAUAUCAUUUUCCAGACAACAUGUAAUCUUGGCAUACUUAUAUUGUUUUCAAAAAUGAGUUUUUUUAAUCAAGUUCUAAGUAUUAUUGAUAAAGUACAAUGCCCAAGCUAAAUACAUAAAGUCAUAAUGGGAACCAACUCACAUCUUUUGUAACGGCCCAGAUUCCAAUUCUUGGAUUUCUCGGUUCGAGAAAUCAAGAUAAGAGAAUCGAACUUACUCUUUUUCUUCUAUGCCCAAGCUGUUAUAUCAUACUAGUGUCCGCUUUGGUGGACAUCGCCCACUUACUCCCUCACAACUUUAUAUCAUGUCCCAAGGAUUCGAACACAAAGCCUCUGUUUAAUGAGAGGCUUAAGUUGAAUUCUCAUAUUAAUUGGUUGACAAUACUUGUGAUAUAACGAUUUGGAUAUAAAUGCUGGGUCGUUGGCCAUUUUCAACGCCGUAUCAAAUUUUUGCACAAUUCUGCACCAAACUAAAAUCAUCUCCAAGCAUUACACUAAAACUUACCAAAUAAGUUUAAAUUCAUUAUUAAAUAUAAAAAAUAGUGCAAUGCAUUUCGAAUUUGAAUAUUAUGAUAUUACAAAGUAGAAAUAUCACUACAUUUUAAUUCUCGAAAUUCGUACGUUCUUCCCACAAAUGAUCGAUUAAUAUAUGUAUGUGGUUAUUAUAAUAUGUUUCGUAUUAACUUUAAAUAAUCGUGUUUGUUAUAUAUUAAUUUUUUUAGUCUUAUUUUAAUUAAUUCAAUAAUUAUUAUCUUUUACACUUAAAAUAAAUUUUAAAUGGAAAUAAUAAUUGUAAUAGUAAUAGUAAUAGUAAUAAUAAUAAUAAUAAUAAUAAUUGUAUUAAAAUAUAUAUAUAUAUUACAAAUGACACAAAUACCCUCCAUCAAUUACUUUGACAAAUGGAAGAAAGGGCAAAUUUGACGUUGCACCUUUUUGCAUUUUGCCCAAAAUAGUUUAAAUUUUCGUGCCCCAUUAGAGAGCUUUUGCACCAAAUUUUGAUGAAGUUUGGUGUUUUGGUGAUAACAUUUGAGAUGGCCUUACAACAUUAUUGUUUAGUGGUUGAGCUAUUCUUUUUGAAAAUAGGUUGUUACUGAAGUUAGAUUUUGAUUAAUUUUUGGAAGGAUAUUGACACAAGUUGUCGAAGUUGAGAUUUUAGAUAUGGUUGAGAUUUAGAAUUUACUGAGAACUUUUGUUGAGGUACGUGUUCUUGAAUUUGGCUGGUUUUGGUCUAGUUAAUCAAGAAAGCUAUUUGCAACUAGAUAAUUAGGAUUCAAAUUUGUAUCCAUUUAAGUCGAAAUUCGAUAUUUUUAUCCAAUCAGUCUAGAUUCAGUGAUGUAGUUCAAUCCAGAUUCUAAUGGACAUUGGAGCUUGGGUUGAAGAGAUCAAAAUUACGGACUAGGAAGAAAAGUUGUCGCAUUUUCAAUAGCUUGCCUCUAGCUGGCCACUCUAGCGACGCUUGCAUAUUUUCUAUAGAGAUUUGUCGCUGCCCAUCACCCACCUGGUGCUCGAGCAGCGAAACUGUCGCCCGCCUACUACUCACCUAUCGCUCAAGUGAUAAGGUUAUCAGGCCUGGGCCGUUUUUCUUUCUUACUCAUUUUUGGACUCAUAUUAAUCUACAACUUGAUUUUUAGCAUCUUAUAUAUACAAGUCACGGCUUGUAUUAUUCUCAUAACAUUCAUACAACAUCUUGAGAGCUUUAGAUCUUAAUUACUUAUUGAGAUCCUUUUGUGCACACAAUUACAAUUGAUUAUAACGGAUUUCUCCUCCUUUGGACUAGAGGUUUUUUCACAUCUUGGAUUUCCAUAUAAAUUUGGUGUUUUUAUUUUGUUCUUGUUUAGUUCAUUAUUGUCAUUAUCUAGCAAUCAACCCGUAACAAGUGGUACCGGAGUAAGGUUAAUUAUUAUGCAUGACUAUGAUGAAUUAUGAUUUUCCGUCAUUGGAUCGAAACAAGAUAUUUAUUUUAUGGCAAGUGAAAAUGGGAGCAGUUCUCACGCAGAUGGAUUUGAAGGAAGCAUUGUUUGGCUUUGAUAAAAUGCCUUCAAUCUCAAAUCAAAUCCCUCAGGACAUUCUAAAGAAAAAACGUUCCACUACAUUGUAGUGGAAGUUGGAGCAACUUUGUAUGACGAAGAGCUUGACCACCAAGUUACACUUGAAACACCGCUUGUAAUCUUAACAAGUGUCCGAAGAUACAUCAUUAGAUGAUCACUUAACUAAGUUCAAAGACAUCGUAGCCAAUUUGGAGACAUUAGAAGUUAUUUUAUGACAAGUAUGACUUGGUUUUGAUGUUGUUAUGUUCUCUAUCGCCAACAUAUAUGACUUUUAGAGAUACUAUUCUCUAUAGUCGAAUACUCUCACUGUGGAAGAGGUCUAUGAUGCUUUACUAUUGAAUAAAAGAUUAGGCAUUUUGCUGGAGGAUUUGGGAGUCAAGCUAGAGGCCUUGUUGUUCGUGGGAGAAAUCUGGAUAGCAAUCUUGGUCGUAAUAUGAUGGGCAGACUGGAAUCUAGACAUGUAGAGAAAUAUGUCAUUACUGUAAGAAGAAGGGGCGUUAGAAUUGAUUCCGAUUAAUUGAAAAAUAGAAAUAAAGCUGAUAGUGCUACAGAAAGAGGAAAGCAACAUGUUAACAUAGCGGAGGCUAAUGUUGUGGAAGAUGGGCAAAGUAAAAGAGAGCUCCAUGUAAUUUUUGACAUAGGUUCCAAACUUUAUGAAAAAUGGGUUUUUGACUCAGCAUGUACUUUUCAUAUGUGCCCGUGGGGAUUGUUUGCAACAUCUGAAAGAAUUUUGAGAUGUGUAAUGAUUAUGGAAAACAACACGAUUUGCAAAAUUGUCGGAGGUUGUCCAGUCAGAAUCAGAAUGUUCGAUGGUGUUGUUAGAACACUUAUAGAUAUAACGCACGUUCUAGAUAUGAAGCGAAAUCUCAUAUCUUUGAGCACAAUUGACUCAAAGGGUCGUAAAUACACUGGUGUAAUUGGAGUUUUGAAGGUGGGUGGGGGCACACUUUUUGUCAAGAAAAGACAGCAAAACUCUACACAAAUGUAUAUCUUGUAAGGUUUCAUAGUAAUAAAAGAUAUAACAAUUUCUACUUCUUCUUUGACUGAUGAAAAAGUUACUAAACUUUGGCAUAUGAGACUUGAGCAUAUGAAUAAGAUAGGUAUGACAAAGUUGAGUAGGAAAGGACUUCUUGAUGGGCAGAAGACCAGUAAGAUGAAGUUUUGUGAGCAUUGUGUCCUUGAAAAAUAGAAAAAUGCUAGAUUCACUAAAGGAAAACAUAACAUGAAAAGAACACUUGAAUAUAUCCAUUCAAAUCUUUGGGGACCGGUCAAGGUACCUUCAAAAGAUGGUGUUUAUUACUUGUUGACUGUGAUUGAGCAUUUCUCCUGAAAAGUAUGGGGAUGAUGUGUUUGGGACCUUCAAUGAGUGGAAAAAUUGAUAGAAAAAUAGAUGGGAAAGCAAGUGAAAUGUCUACGCACAAAUUAUGGGCUAGAGUUUUGUUAAAUGAAUUCAAUAGCUUCUGUAAGGUUGAAGGCAUCUUGAACGAUUAACAAUGCUCAAAACUCCUCAAUAGAAUAGUGUGACAGAACGGAUAAAUAGAAAUUUGAUGGAAAAGGCUCGUUAUAUUCUUUCAAAUUCUAGAUUGCAUAAUACUUUUUCGGAUGAAGCUACUACUACAACUAAUUUUCUGAUUAAUCGCUCACCCUCAGCUGCCAUUAAGAAAAAGACACCAGAAGAGAUAUGGUCUAGUAAACCUGCUUACCAAAAAAGGUAUGGUCUGGUAAACUUUCUUAUUAUUCUGAUUUUAAAAUAUUUAGUAUCCUGCUUAUGCUCAUGUGGAUCUAGAAGUGUAUCUUUCUUAGAUAUAAAUUAGUUGCGAAGGGGUAUAUAUUGUACUAUCCUGAGACAAGAAAGGUUGUGGUUAAUAAGAUGUAGAAUUUGGUCAACUUGUUAUGGUUCAUGGUUUACCUUUUAGGAUUCUGAUAAAACUGAGGAAUGGAAUCAUUCAACUCAGGUAGAGUUAGAAAUUGGUCCAAGGGAACAAUCAGAAGUUUCAAAAUAGUCUACUAUAGAUCAAUCUAGUCCAGAAUUAACAAACAGUAAUACUUUGCCUAAACCCCAGCAACACCACAGUAUUCAAUUGCUAACAAUAGAACUCGCAGACAGAUUAAACCUCCACAGAAGUAUGGAGAAGCAGUUUUGGUAGCUUAUGCAUUGAAUGUGGCUGAAGAUAUUAAUUCCACUUAGGAGCCUGUUCAGAGACAGACAGUUGCAAUGAUUCCAGCAGAUGAUUGAUUUCUAUGCAAGAGGAGAAGGGAUCACUGAAUAAAAACAGUACUUAGGACUUUGUAAAAUUACCUAAGGAUAAAAGGGUUGUUCGCUACAAGUGAGUGUUCAGAAUAAGAAAAUGACAUCAAGGAUUAAAGAUACUAGGUAUAAGACUAGACUAGUAGCAAAGGACUACAAUCAGAUUCCACGUAUUAACUUUAUAGAUGUGUUUUCAACAAUUGUGAAGCAUAGUUCAAAAUCGGGCUUUACUUGGAAUAGUAACAAAGAAUGAUUUGGGGCUUGAAUAGAUAGAUGUUAAUAUAGAAUUCUUGAAUAAAGAAUUUGAGGAGAAUAUUUACAUACAAAAACCAGAAGAUCUCGUAGUUUCUGGAAAGAAAGACUGUGUUAUGUUUGAAGAAGUCCAUGUAUAGACUAAAGCUGUCAUCGAGGUAGUGGUAUAAAAGGUUCGAUUCAUUCAUGACUACUCAUAGUUUUAUUAGAAGUAGUUAUGAUAGAUGUGUGUACGUCGGACAGGAAGAUAGUGGAUUGAUCACAUAUUUGUUAUUAUAUAUUGAUGAUAUGCCCAUAAUAGCUAAAGACAAAGCCGAGUUUAGAAAGACGAAAUCAUAAUUUAAUAAGGAGUCUGUAUAAAAGAUUUGGCACAGCAAAAAAAUUCUUUGUAUGGAGAUUUUGAAGGAUAGAAAGGCUGGCAGAUUGUAUUUGAGUCAAAAGGGAUACAUUAAGAAUGUGCUUCAAAGGUUUGAUAUACUGAAUGCUAAGGCUAUCAAUGCUCCAUUAGCUACCCACUUCAAAUUAUCAUCUAGAUUAUGUCCUCAAUCAGAUGAAGAUAUUGAUUAUAUAUUUUGGAUUCAUUAUUCCAGUGUAGCUAGUUCAUUUAUAUAUACUAUGGCUUGUACAAUCAAAAUUUGACACAUGCAGUUAGUGUAGUUAGUAGACAAUGGCAAAUCCUGAGAACUAAAAUUGGAAACCAGUACUAUGGAUAUUUAGAUACCUGAAGGGCUCUACUAAUGCUUGCUUGUAUUUUGGUGGAAAUGCAGAUGGGGUCAUUGGAUAUGUGGAUUCAGAAUAUGUAGGGGAUCUUGAUAAUAGGAGAUCAUUUACAGGGUACUUUGUUUACCUUUGGAGGCUGUGCUAUCAGUUGAAAAUCUAGUUUGCAAAAUACAGCAGUUUUGUUGAUAAGACAUCAAAUGUCGCAUUUUUCACGGAUUAAUACUUUCACUUUUGUGAUUAAUUAAUACUUAAAUGUACUUAGUACCCUUAUAUUUAGAUUUAGGUUGCAAUUGGAUGGAAAUUAUGAAAGUUGGGAGAAAAGAGCCAAAAAUGACCAAAAUGGAAUCAAGUAAAAGUUCAAGGACAAAGUUGCAAAUAAUCCAUAGAUGAGACGAGCGAUGGAAUGAAGAUUCAAGAAUGUUAGGGAUCAAUUGGAUGGGGAAAGAAGACAAGCAGAUGAAAUAUAACCAAAGUAUUAUCACAUGUCAACUUCCAUGCGAAAAAGUUAUGCUCCAGAUCUAGCCUAUGUUUGAGACCUGUUUUUGCCAUAGUAAACUUGCGAAUUGGAAAAAUUCUAUAUCUAACAAAAUUAUAGCCCUUUUCAUUAGCUUUUCAACCAAUUUGAAUCACCUCAACCGGAUAUCGGGAGAGAAAUUUAUGAUCAAAGUAUUGAAAGCUGUCCGGUGGAGAAAGCGGCAAAACCAUGCAGUCGCACAACUUGCUUCAAAGAACUUGAAGGCUGAAAAUAGUUGUUCUAUGUGACCUUAACCAUUUGAACCAUGUGGUCGCAUGGUUAAUCUCCGAGGCAUAAUUUUUAGUUUCCUAAUUUCAUUCAACUACUCAUAGAAACAAAAUCUUGUACAUGAUAUAUAAACCCCAAAUCUCGUCCAAAACCUAGAGAUCGGCCCCAAACCUAAUUUUCUCUUUUUUUGCUCUAGAUUUAUGAUCUGUAACUAAUUCACUUUGCUUGAUCGAAAGAGACAAAAGCCUUGGAACAAUUAUAACUGUGAGAUCCACCGAUUUUUAUUUUUUAAUUCAUAUGUUUAGUAUUAAAUAUUUUUCUGCAUGUAUUUUUAGGGUUGUUCUAUUUAAUUGUUAGGAUGCAUACUAGUUUAUUAUUCUCCACAAUCUAUAGCUAAGUUAAACAUCAAAUCCGUAAUUGUUUGAUUAAUUUAACUUGCAAAGCAAGUAGGAUUAAUGAUUUGCUGCUUUGAAAAUUAUUGAAUCUUAGGAAUAAUAUUUAUCUAGGUUAAAUGCAAUCACAUGUGCUUGUGUUAUCUAGUUCAUUGAUUUCUCUAGUUCAUAAAGCAAUUAUUGAAUUAAAUCUUUGCUCUUGUCUGGAAUUGUUUAUUAAUUAAGAUUAAUUAGAUCGCUUGUUUCUAAUUAAUUUAAACUAAGGAGAAAUAGGAAAUUGUUUCUAAUGGAAAAUGGAUUUCCACAAUGAAUGCUAAAAGUGUGAAUUAAUGAUUAUUUGUGGAUCAAUGACUGGUUACGCAUUUCCAAUGGUGGAUGUUGACUUAGAUCGAGGUUCGUUAGAUUGAUUUCAUUUAAUUCAUUGAUUUUCUUUGAUAUUAAUUAUUUUCCUUAAUAAUCGAUCGUUUCAAAACCAAAACCCCCCAUUUUCAUUAAUAUAGCAUGGAAAAUAGACUAAACACUUUUCUUAGGAUUGACCCUUACUUCUACCAUUGCAUUUAUUUUAAGAAGUAUAUGUUCUAAUUUGGGUGUCUACUACAGCACUCACCAUUUGUCUACAACAGAUGCGGGGUACAUGGCCAUUACAGAUGCAUGUAAGGAAGAUAUGUGGUUGAGAUGAUUGAUUGGUGAAAUAAGUGAAGCCUUACUGAUUUCUAUGUUCUACAAUAUAUUGUGAUUGCUUGUAGCAAUAUUGUAGUGAGCAAAGUUGAUGAUAAGGAUAAUCCUGAUAAUAUGAUGACAAAACUAUCUUUCAUUGCUAAGUUUGAGUACUGCUUGAACUUAAUUGGUGUUGGUCAUUGAUUUAGCCCAUUGGGGCUUAUUUGAAAGAGAAUGAGUGAUGUUUAUUUUAGAGAUAUGUGUUUGGAAUCCUUGUAUUGGAAUUUGGUUUGACGUGGAGAUUUAUUAUAGUUUGACCCAAAUCCUAAUAGGUAUUAGAGUUUUGGUUGAAUUGGUCUUUAAGAGAUCAUAAUCAUAGACCAGAAAGAAAAGUUGUCUCAUUUUCACUAGCCUGUCGCUAGAUGGCUGCUUGACUGGCGCCUGCAUAUUUUCUACAUAAACUUGUAGCUUUUCUGUCGCCUGCCUAGCGUUCGAGCAGCUGAGCUGUCGCCUCUGCCUCGAGAGCCAAGCUCAUUUCACUUUGUUAUGCGUUUUUGGACUCUUAUUCACCUACAACUUGAUUUAUAGGAUUUUAUAUAUAUAAGUAAGGGUUUGUACUAUUCUCAUAACAUUCAUGCAAUAUCUUGAGAGCUUUAAAUCUUAAUUGAGAAUAUUGAGAUCUUGUUGUAAGCACAAUUACUAUUGAUUAUAAUGGUUUUCUCUUCCUUUGUCUAUUAGUUUCGUACCAUCGAUUAUUGAAUUGACUGCUUUACUAUGCUACAUUACGAGACCCGUCUUACCUUUCCUUUCCUUUUCCUGCGGUUCUUCUCAUCUUAGGUUUCCCAUAAAUCUUAGUAUUCUUGUUUUGUUCUUGUUUAUUUCAUUAUUGUCAUUAUCUUUCGAUCAAUCCAUAACAUUCAGAAUUUGCAUUCGUUUGGUUUGCUAUGUUCAAUUAUUUUUUCGGCUUUUGCAAUGCCUCUGGCAACCUUCACAUUGUUAAGCUAGUUUGAUAUUAUUAAGUUAAGCUCAUGGACUAAGUGAUGUGUCUUAGUACUGCUGAAUGGAAGAAGAGUGUCACGUAACUUCAACCCUGAUGUAUAUGGAGAGUGUAAGGCAACCUUAUUUUGUUCAAUUGAUAGCACGAUGAUGCUUAAUCAUUUUAUUUAGCAAACUUUUAAAGCUCGCCAUCAUUAGUUUGAAGGGGCUUGUUAAAGAAUAUUGUAAUUUGUCUUGCUUUAUCAGGCAUAUUUUGGACCUUUCAUUUGUUAUGGUUAGAAGUCUAUUUCUAUCGUCAUAGUACACAUUGAAUAAUACGACUUUGUUGAGUUUAAGAUAUGCACGCAAGUUCAUGAUAGUGAAAAGAUUCCCCAUUCAUCAGCCAAACGUGGCAAAAUCAAAUCAAAUUGUCCAUAUCGUUUUGUUUUUUAGCAUUUGGACCUUCAGAUCGACCAUUAUUCGUGUGGUCAUUUAAUUUUGAUUCCAUCCAUAUAUAUAAAUUAUUCCCCGAACCCCACCCCCUGCCAAUCCUCUAAACAAGAAAAUAUUAUCUCUGAAAUUUUCUAGAUUUCCACAAAGAUAAAGACAAAAUUCUGAAUGUAAAUGAAUUAUUUUCUAUAAAAGCCAAAUAUAAGAUGAAUUAUUUCCACGUCUAGCAUGAAAUGGACAAGAUGAAAGAUCACAUGUGAAGCAGGGGACCAUAAUCCAACUUAUACUUAUUGGACGAGCUAUGAACGUCGAAUUUACUUUUGAGUCUAAAAAUUACUUAUUUCAAAAGUUACAGCUAGUUGCGUUAUUGUGAUGACUAUAAAAUAUGCAAAGACCAAGAAAAGUAAACAAACCUUUAUCUAUAACAGCCAAAUCUAGUCACUGAAGAUGAAAAAUCCAAAUCAAAGAGAUCAAUCAUGUAAAUAAAUAUCCCUACUUUCAUGAUGAGUAGAUAGACUUGUAAGUAGCUAAUUUGCUAUUAGAUUCCUUGACUCAUUCAUCCAACUAAAAUUCUCAAAUGCAGAAAGUUCUUAGUUGAACAGUAAAGGCUGAACACAUCUAUGACGACCAAAGUUCUCACGAGGCCUUGGGCAGAUAGGAACUUUCUAAUAUAAGAAGGGGCAUAGUAUUAGCUACGAACCUCGUAUAGGAAUAUCGAUGGAUCUUCCACAAUGGCUGAAGGAAUGCUUCCUGCUGUCCAUACUGUUGGCAUCAAUAUUACUGGUGCUUGGGUUCAAGUUUUUCUCAAACAAGAACUUCAAUAAACGAAAUCUUAAAACGCCCCCAAGCCCUUCAAAACUUCCCGUCAUUGGCAACCUCCAUCAACUUGGCAACGUGCCACACCUCUCUCUUUACAAUCUAUCCAAGAGAUUUGGCCCCAUAAUUAGCUUACAACUUGGUCAGAUCCCAACGGUAGUGAUUUCAUCAGCAAGAAUGGCGAAGGAGGCAAUCAAAAACCAUGAUCUUGCACUUUCAAGCCGACCCCAGAUAU
rnacentral:lncRNA from 1 species